UGGGAUAGUAGCAAGAACAAAGCUACCCGCUAUUAGAAUUGGGCUAGCGCCAACAAGCCUGUCCUUGCUUACUUUUAUACUGAUACGGAGACAAUACUUUGACUCACUAGCUCGGUUCUGACUUGACCAAACAAACCUAUCUCUCUGCUCUGCUCGGGGAAAGCAUGAAAUUAAUAUAAGAACACGGAACUCGGGCCAAGCAACUGCUAUGCUACUAUUAGAAUCAAGAUAGGAAUACAGAAAUGAACUACUACUAUGCCACUAUAGGAAUGAGCUACUAAAGUCAGACUAAUAGGUAGGUGGAAGCUAACCCUAUUGUAAUAGAAUAGAUAAGUGAUCAAACUAUUAUAAGAGAAUAGAUAAGUUACAAAACGAAACCAAUUCUAAUAUAAGUCAACUUCAUACCAAAUUGAAUAAUCAAUAAGUAAACUAAGAAUCAUAAUAAGGAGUAAGCGCCCUAAUAGUAGUACGGGGAUGAAAGUCAGGAUAAAGACCAUAAGAUCAGGAAAGGCAGGAGAAAUAUGACGCAGUCUUCCCAAUGAUGGUACCCAGACGGCACCCUUGAAAGAUAUUAUGGGAGGUCGGACGUGUAAAGUGAAGAUUGAUCAUCGGCAACUGACCGCUUUCACUCUAACAUCCUAUUUGCUUGCUUUCCCUCUCACAUCCUAUUUCAUGUGAUGUCUGCUAUGUUUGUCGACCUCUGCAACCGCUGUUGUCAUCGUCUCGAUUUGAUAUGGGGCUGAACGAAAGAAAGUAAGUACCAACUGGUCAACAUUGGUCAACAUUCGCGGUAGGUCAGAAAGCUAAUUGAGGGCAAAACACACACCUAUUAUUCUUUCUUCCCAGCCUAGAUAAUCAAACACUAACAAGGAAUCGAGCACGAAGAUAAAGGUUUGGUUCCUACUUGAAAAUGAAGGUGCUGAAAGCAUUACAAUUGUAACGCCUAGAAAGAAAAAGGGAAGUUUGUACUUUCAUAAGCCGUAGAAUGCCUCAUAUGAGAAAAAGCUUAAUUGAACUCCUGUGUUAUACCUGAAACCAUAGAGCUGCUUCGAGAGGAUAGGCGAGGUUGAAGUCACCAAGCAAGCGGUAAAGACCAUAUAGGAGUUUUAUGCUCACGGAAAGUAUUUAGUUGGCUGGUUCUUUGAUUUAUCCCUUGUGCUCUGUGGGAAUUGAAACCCAUCUUAGCUGUACUAGCCCCUGACCAGUGAAUGAGCCUACACAAAACUAUAUCUAUUCGAGUUAGUUCCACUUAUUAUAUGCAAUCUCGACUCUCCAGCUUAUGGUUGAGAUUUUGUCCUCGGGCGGAGUCCACAUGAGUUCAUUGAGGUGUCUACACAGGAAAGGAAGAAUAACAUCAUCAAUUAGGUAUAUUCCUAAGAAAGUUAGGAUUGCUCCACCUCAGUCGAACGAAAAGAAAAGGAGGUUAUCAGGGAGGUUAGCUUGCUUACAAUAAUAUACCGGUGAAUUGGAAGGGAAGCUAGACUUAAGCGAGGUAGAUACAGUUUUCCAGUUAGGCAAUUAAGCCUUGAAGAAAGCAAGUCAGAUUUGGAUUAAGCAAUGUUAGUUUCCGAGUUAGUGGUUAGGAUGCGUUAGAUCAUACCUUUCUUCUUGAUUCUAUGUUUUAUUAUUGAUCUUAUUAGUUAGCAUCCAGUAUGUUACCAAACCAGGACUACUGAGUUGAGUUCUGUGAUACCGAGAUAUGAUUCUCCAUCCUGUUCGUCCACCUUAGAUGCCCGUUCUGUUACUACUGGAUUGAGUUCUAAUCCCUUGUCUGGGUAACCAAUUCUGUCACUGCUGCCUGUGAACCUGUAUUCACUGACUUUUAUGCUUACUUAUUAGUUGACCUCCUGCCUUGCUUUCUUGCUUGGCGAGUUACUUGGCCCUAUGUGCGCCUUUAAGUAAUAUAUUCCCGAUUAAGAUUCUAUGCUCAUUCCCAUUCCUAUGUGCUGCUUUCAUUCUGUCAUCCCGACCUCCUAGAUCUGGCUUGUUAGUUGAAAACUCAAACUCCUCGGGACCCAGUCUGUCUAUUGUUGUUGAGGUGUUAGCCUUACUUAAAGUAUUAGAUGAUUAGAUAUAAGACUUACUUAAAGCAUUAGAUGAUUAGAUAUAAGACUAAGGCCCCGGCAAGCAUACCCAAGAAGAGUAAAGAAGAAAACGAAAUAGUAGAAGUUCAAUAGUAGAAGAAUGGCUAGUGGAUACGCGGGGUAAGAAGUAGUCCUGAAGUGAGAAUUGAGCUAUUAACUGUCAGAUUGAAACACUGCCCCAACAGACUCCACUCGCCUAGGAAAAAGGAGUCCAACCACUGAAGGAGUGUUACGCGGCAGCCUUAAAGAUAUAGUUUGGAUAUUACAAAUAAUAAUGAGCAGUGAAUCCUAUGCUAUAAUACUAAUACGAGUAAGGCAACUAUAAUGCUAACAUCAGAAAGGAACUCACAACUAGGGUCGAUGUAAUUGAGCAACAACCUUUUUUUCUGUAGCUCCUGGAUCUUCACUCUACUGCUCAAGAGCCUUACUUUUGUUAACUUGGGUCACCAAGCUUAGUAUAACUAUUAGCCUGAACCCCUUGACACUAAGUCUGACUGCCCUAACUCUAAGGUCCUUUCGUGCAUUCUUGCUUGUGCUUGGUCGUUACAAACUCUGGUUUUAGUAAUCAACUCCGUAUUGCCCGCCUCGGCUCAAUUCUUUAUCAUGUGAGAACAAGUAUUAGAAGCAGUUGUUCUAGGUUAGUUCCCAUAUGGAAGAGGUAGACCUAAUAGACAGAGAAGUGAGCCUUGGGAUCAGUAGCUAGAAAAUGCAAGUAAAAGUAGUAAGCCUGAGUUCCCGCAUUAAUCCUUAUUAUUAGGCCCCUAGUCUAGUUACGAUUGAAGGGCUGCUAGUUUCACUAAAGACUUGAAGUCGGUAGUUGUUAUCCUCAUGUGUGGGGGCGCUAUUUCAUACUAAAGCUAUCAAUACAUAAUGCAAGGAGGGAGUUUCAGAGUCAAAGGAAUGUAGCUAAUGAGCGUAUGCCUGAUGGACCCGAGUGCUAGUUUAUAAACGAAGUCAAGUAAUCCUAGUGUCUUGUGUGGGGGAGUGUGUCAGAUUUGAUAUCAGUAGUUCAUUUCUUCGCCUUACUUGUUUGGUAGUGAUAUGUAAGCUUUUGAGCCUGCCCUGAACUCUAUAGCUACGGAUCUAGAUCCUGACUUAAAGGGUUUAGUCCGUGUCACGCCGUUGCUUGUCGGAUUGAGUUCUGCUAUACUAUAGUACCUAGCCGCAAAUAGAAUAAUAGAUCAGUAUCUGAAGAACUGGAACUAAGCCUAAGAGCUAGAGUAAGGAGAUACGAAAUGAGAGACAGGGCAAAGUCACUACUAGCAUUAAAGCAAGGAUUAUAAGACCAACAAUAGAGCCAUACACAAGGGUAGUCAGGAGGAAGGUACAGACUUAUCGACUGGUUAGUAAGAAUAGGAGCUAAGGGAAGCAGCCUGGGGGACAGGAAAGUCAUACUCUGGCGUAUCAAGCAGUAAGAAUGAGAAGAUUAAGUAAAGUAGUAUGGUGGAUCUAUAUUGCAUUAAGACAGAGUACCCAUAUAGAUCACAAGGCUUAAUCACUACUCCAACAAGAUGGAACUAGCAACUAAGGCCUUCACUACCGUUUCUAAGACUUCACUAACUACUGGAAGGAAUGGAACCCUUAUUAGAAUUCGUCAACCACUAGAUCUCUAAGUUGGAAACCUAUAAUUGUGGUCUCUUUAUGAAGUUAAUAGGAGCUGAUCUCUUAAUUACUAUAGGAGUAGCGGAGCCAUAGGUAAGAGGUGGAGAUGUAUAGGGAAGGAAAUCAAGAAAGAAAGAAAUCCGAGGAAGCUAUCUGUAAAGCCUAUAGCUCCCAAUCUGGUGUUGCAAGAAUGGAGUGGCACCGAGGAAACCCGGAAUUGAACACGAAACUUCUCUAGAAGACUUACCACUUGCGCAGCACUAGCAGCUGACGACUGAACCCUCUUAUAUCGUAGCCCACAAAGGGAAAGCAAAGAACUGAUCUCAUUGACUUAACCAUUAACAUCAGGGCUGGAACAAUACUUUUGGAUUACCCGCUUGCUUGAUACCCUAUCCGGACUUACUUGUAUUUCGCCUAACCAGCAAGCUCUGUUCUCAAGUUGUCUAGGAUAAACCUUUCUCUACUAACUACAGUAAAUUAAUCUAUACAAUUCUUGCACUAAAGCUACUUACGUCUGCCUGUCAACUCUCUUCUUUCUCCCAUUUUGCAUCUAGCUGUAUGAUGCUACGUGUUGGACUUACCUCUUUCUCGUAGGCAACUACAGUUCCUCCAUUGAUCUUAAGGAUGACUUUUCUCUUCUCAAUAGAGUAGCUACUACUAUCAUCCUCAUCUUCUCUUGCGUGUAUCCACUGCUCUAGCUGCGGGCAUUGCUUCAGUGUGUAAGUUAGUGCAAUGUUGUUUGAAAAUCUGAAUCCUUCUAUGUAUGCUUGCACAGGCCACGCUGCAUAGAAAGGAGUAGCAUUAACUUCAUCAUCCCAUACAAUCCCUUUUGCGUCUUGCUCUGUCAGCUUCAUCCACGCUUGAGAGUCCUCGGUUGGUUUCUCUGGCAUUAUUCCAAUACAGAAGGGUCUCCACUGCUUUUGAGAAGUAUUCUUUAACUUCAAUUGCAUCCCCCCUUCUUCUUGUAGCUCCUUUACUAGCUGGUUUGUAGUUUGAAGAGGCACAUACGCAAACUCUAGGAGUGAUAGGACCUUCGUUUCCUCUAUAGUUUCUUGCUCUUCUGAACAUAUUUGUUGCACGUUCAUUUGUGCAUUAAAGUGUAUAUAUUCAUGCGGGAAGAUUCUGCUCAUAGGCACCUUGCAAGCUACAGUGAGUUUCAUGCUUUGUUUUCUUUUUGUGGUUAGUGUCGCUCUGUCUCCCUGUUCGAUAUGCCUCUCCACAUCACCUAGUCCGAAUACGUUCCAUUGCUGAUGUGUCCUUGGUAGUGGUUUGAAGUUUCUUAGCCGCAUGCAUAUAUCUGCUUCCUCUUCAUUAUAUGCAAUAGGGACGUUUUUGGCCUGAUCCCAUCGUACUCCCAUCUGUUUUAACCUCCUUUGUAUACAUCCCCAUAGAGUCGCAAUUACCCUUUCUGCCUUUCACGCGGGUACCUUAGUAGUGAAGCAUAACCUCAUAAACCUUUCAUUGAAUGGUCCUUUUUCCCUAAUGCUUCUUGGUGGAUAAUUCAUGAUGGUAACAACUGCGACAUUUCUUUUCUUACAAUACCCUAGCCCUACCAGAACUAGUAUUUCGUACCUGAAAUUACUAUAAGGGCCCUAACAAGCUAGUAAGUCAACCUCGGCUCCUCUAACUCAAUGUCUUUUCUACCUGAAUUAGGCUAAUCUUUCUCUGGCAACUCAUCUCCCUAUCCUAUGAUCAACCAUCUAGUAUUCAUAGAGUGGACUUCCUGCAAUAGCACAUUUAGUAAGAUAGAAUAAUAGAGUGAGACUGUCUACAUCUCCCAACUCCCUCUCCUGAUACCGAGUCAACUAAUACUGUUAUUGCAACUUACUAUAAGGCCCACUACCUGGACUACCUGGACUACCGGCCCAGCCACUACUAUAUAAAGUCAAGAAUAAUGGAAUGAUUUGGAAGACAUAGCUCGGAAACAACUCUCACUCCUCAAAGUGGAACAGAAACAACCAAUAAGAGCUGCUGCUGUCAACUAGAAACCUGCUGUCAACUAUGCACUUCCUUUGUUAGGUAUGGAAGGGAGUCUCAUAUUCUUUGCUUAGAUACUCGGAUGGCUGCGGGGUAAUAGUAAGGUUCAGUUCAGGCGUUUCACCCAGGCGUUUCACCCAGGAAUUGAUUAUCGAGCACCUGACAUAGAAACUAGUAAGGACCCAGCUCCAUCUUUUUGACCGGUUUCCAUACUAUACUAUACUAUACUUGCUUCCUUUCUCUGGCAUCUGAUCUCUAAGAUCCCACUCUAACAGAAACAGACAGACAAUCUCUGGCAAUUCACCCGCUUACUGCUAAACGGUUAACUUUAAGGCAAAGCACUGCGGUAAAUCCUCUAGCUUAUGGAAUGGAAACAAUCUUUCCUAAUGCGCCAAGGAAAGUCGUAAUGGAAUCUAUAUCUUGCUUGAGCACCACUAAUAGAACUCUGUAAUCCAACUGCUUCCUCCAGAGCUAAAGCCUCUUCUAAAGUGCCUAUCCGAAUUCAACUCGUUAGGUGGUCAAGUCAGAAUUAAGGUAUUGUUGCCUAGGAGCUUGGCCCAGAGAGUGAGUUUUGGAAUCUUCCUGCUGUGACUAAAAUGCAAUAGGCAGAUGAUAGUACCAGAGGAGAGUACUAGGGUUGGUCUUAAAGGAACACUACAGUAUUAAGGGCGGCAGGUUAGCUAUGUUUCAGUUCAGGCACAGACUCAGUGUCCGUAUCAGCAUCUGGCGCUAUAUAGGUUGGUUGGUGCUUGGCUCGGUUUAUGUUAAGGGUAGUUGAGUUUACAUACUUGUAUUGGUCUAUUAGGGGUUGAGUUGUUUUGUUUACUGACUUUGUGGGGUAGGCUUCAGUGCUUUUGUUUACUUACUAGCUUGUUUGGGUUUGGGUAGUUCCAGAGAGUACUUGCUUUGAGGCUCGGUUACUGACUUAGUUGACUUACUUGCUUUUUGAACUUAUUAUUUAGGGCUUUGUUGCGCAAGAGAAGAGGAUAGUUCUAGCAGGUAUAUAAGUGGCACUCGCUUAAGGAGCCCUGGACCGGUUAGUAUCAUAUUAAGAAUGAACCUAAGUGGUCAAAGAAUUCAACCAGGUAGUCAAAGAGUUAAUAUAGUUACCCCGUAAUUCCGUAUCUAGGGCAACAACUUAUUAUAAUUCGUGAAAGUGGGAAUUCAACUCACAAGUCGGAGUUAAAGAAAUCCACUCGAAAGUAGUAAGUAGAAGACUCAGAGACAAACUAAUAAGUACUGAAGUCAAGAAUUCCACCACAGUAUACACAUAGUAGGGGAAAAUAUAUAUCACUUUAUUAAGGAAACUAGAUUCCACUCAGCGGUGGGUAAGAAUUCUACUCUUAAGUAGGAGCCAAGCAGAUGCAAGCGGUAAGGGAGUUCAUUCAGCAAGUAAGAAGGGCGAGCUACUAUAGAGGAUCCAAUGAAGCAAGUCAGAGUUGCACUCAGUAGUCAAAGCACCCGAAACAAGACUGGAAGUGAAGAAGUUCAGAGCAGAUAUAAUAAGUGGCACAGGAACUGGUUCUUCUCCGGCUCCAACUCAUGAUACUUAUACUCAUACUUGUACCUGAUCCGUAUUCUGCUCGAACCGGGGCUCCUGAAUUUGGCACAUAAAGUGUUUUGUUUGUUAUCUGACUUUCGACCAAGCUUAAUAUAAUGACCAAGCCGACCGCCAAGACACUACUAAUGUGUCGCGGCAGCCUAUAAUAGUUAUAGAAAGUUAUAAACAAAUCCUUAGUUCGGCGGCAGCAGCAGCAUAGAUAUAUUAUAUAUAGUCAUAACAAUUCCUUCCUUUGAGUCCACCAAGGAACUGCUAAUGACCAAGCCGACAAGCAACGUAGCUAGUAGUUGUGCGUCAGUCCGGAGAGUAAUAACGAGUUAUGUAGAGUUAUUACCAAGUCCUGUGUUCUGGGCGGUAGGAGUGAAACGGUAGCGAGCUAAAAACGGGAGCUAAAGAAUAUAAGUAAGCAUCAAGGGAAUGAAAUAAACAAGUAAAGAUCAAAGCCAGGAUAGUGAGAGUUGGAGUCAAUGGAGGUGGGCUCAUACAAACAGGUAAGACUCGGAGGUGAACGUAGGCAUUUUAGUAGGGAGGUUGGUUUAGGACUAUUACAACUUGGGUUUCUUCUUUAUCUCAUGGAUUCCUUAAGACAGGAGUUUCACUCUUGUUUACCGCCUCCACUGUCUUAGAGCUAGAGCUCGUCAUCAAAGAAAGCAAAUACCUAGUAAGGGUUUGGAAGCGAGUAGGGGCAGAUUAGGAGAAAGUCAGGGUAGCCUUGGGAGCCGAAGACAUCUUAUUGGGCUAAGCGUAUACAUUUGAGUGGAAUGAAGACCUUUCUGUGCGGUUGAAUGAAGACCUUUCUGUGACUAAUUGUUACUAUGGGGAGGUUACCUGCUUCUACUGCUUCUAUCAUACCUAGUGCUGCUUCUACUGCUUCUAUCAUACCUAGUGCUAGUGGGGAACUCACUCUAAUUAUUCUGUUUCUUAUACUGACCUAUACAGCUUAGCUCCCUAACUCUAGGCAAAGGUCAAGUCAAUAACUUCAGCAGUUCGGUAUCUCGAUGUUGGUGGUGCAAGCGGGCCUAGGCCAGUUCCAGUUGUUGGCGAAAGUAAGUCAGCUACAAAUGGUUCUAAGAGUCGAGUUCGGUCAGAAGAUAGUCGUUGGGGAGAAGAGAGAUUCAGGUUUCAAGUGUGUGUGUCUAAGGUUAGGUGCCUAUCCUCUAUAAUGGGUGCGCCUAUGAGCUCUCAAGAAAAGUGUUGUUGUCGACUCGUCCGAGCUCCUGCCGCUACGCAUUAGUAUAUACUUGGCAGAAUGGAACUUAGCCCCCUCUGCUGACAACUUAACCGUUGAGUGGACAGUUGAGAACUUGGAUUCGGCUUCGACUGAUGAUACUGCUGAUCCAACUUAUGCUUAUGUAAACUCAUAGUCUGUAAGCUAACGCCUGGAAUGGAAUAUCUAUCUUACUUUGAUUACCGAAAUCAAUACUUUAUUGCUUAUUUCUAUGGUUCCGCUUCUGUCUACGGCCUUUACUUAAUUGCCUUGAGACUCAACCUGUGCAUCAAAAGGAAUUGAUGAUACUGUUUCGAGCGCUGAAGAUCUUCUUGCUUCGAGCUCUCCCGUUGGCAGAAUGAGAUUGAAAUUGAACAGCAUUGCAUGUCAUAUAUAUAAGAGGAAUAGAGCAGUCAAAGUAGUAGAGAGAAUAGGAAUGAGUUGAAUCGUAUAUGGAUGCUGUGUCAAAGUUAGCAGUUUUAGCAGUUGAAACAGAAUCAAUAGUUCGAAAACCAACUGCAAGAGGUUAUGCAAGUGUAUGUUGAUUACUAGAAGAUAAGAAUGGAAUUGACUACCGACGCAGUAAAGAAAGAGCAGAAGCUGUUGUUAGUGAAUGUUCCAUCUGUAUGCUUGUCACGCUCUGCUUGUCCCGGAGAUAUUUGUAGUAGCCGGGGAGUCAAAGAAUAGAUUGAGUCAGCUACCCCAGAAAGGAAAGGAAUGGAAGCAGUGCCAAGCCGAUAAGAUGAAAAAGAAAGAGUGGGAACAGGCAACUACAACUACCUGUAUAUUGACUACCCAUUUACUAUAUCGCUAUUGGGAGUACCUAUUGCUUAUAACCGUUAGCUUGGCCCUGUUACUGUUCCUGUUCGAAAGUCAAGAGUGAGAGUUAGUUCUAGUCGGGUGCUCAAACAUGAGAUUAGAGGUCAGGUGCUCAAACAUUAGAUUAGAGGUCGGGGUUCCUAUUGCCUCGUUAAGGGGUCGGCUUGGGUCAUUCCAAUUGACUAGCUAACCUGUAGUUACACAUCAUACAUGUCUUGGCGGGUAGGCUUAUGUUUCUCACCUUGGAAAACAAGAAAAGAGAAAUCACAAAUAAAUAAGAAAAGUCGACAUCAUUUUCUUAUACAUACUCAGUAGGGAACUUAUACAUACUCAGUAGGGAAAUAGUAGGGACUCAGUACACAAACAGUAGCUUUAAACAUAUAUUGUAAUAACUUCGUUAUAACUGUUUAUUGGCUGCCGCGUAACAUUAGUAGUUACUUGGCCACUGCCGCUACACUGACGUAGUUACUUGUCCCGUACUAUAUGAUAUAUUCUCUUUAUAUAUGAAACCAGAAUCAACCCUAACUCUCACAGGAGCAGGCUUUCAGCACCUUACUUUGUUCACCAGGAGACUUAUAUAUUCCCUUGAAGCACCUUACUUUCGGUAGUCAAGGGAAGCAGUUCCGUCAGAAGGAGAGAAGGGAUGCAGUUAAGUAUCAUGGUAGCAAAGGGUCGGGGCAGACUUGAAGUCACUUUCGAGGAGAGGUGGGUUCGGUUCGGGGUUAACUCAUCGGUAAGAACCAAGACACCAAUAUUGGAAUCAAAGAAAUUCGAAAUAUGAAAUAAAGCAGAAAAGUCGUUCGAUUUAAACGAUACCGAAUAAGUAGACAAACAGUAACAAAAAAGCACUAUCCAAAUCUCUCUUCUUAAUAUAGGAAACCGGAAUCAACAAAUAAGUAAGCAAAAGGGAAGCCCUAACCCGAAGUCAGGAGUCAGCGUUACUAGGAAGUCUUUUACUAGUUAUGAGUUAGAAGUAAGGAGUGAGUUAUGAGUAAGUCAGGAGUAAGCCCACCGAUUGACCGAAGUCAGGAGUAAGGAGUCCGGUUGGUUCCACACUUCCAUUAGUUGUAGUUGUCAGUUCAAUGAAAUAAGUAUAAUCAUAAUAAACAAUAACAAGGUAUCCCGAAAGUCAUAGGUCGGCAGGCAGGAAAGAAAGAAAGUCAGGGUUGGUUUACUGCUUGCAUCCUUUAGUUAAGGGCGCAUUAGUGGUAUUAGCAACAGGGGUUAUAAAGUGCUAACAGAGAAGGGAGUUCAUGUUUUACUCAGCGCAUUAGUCCGGGUUGGGUUCCUUACUUCUAUCUAUACUAGGCUGGGUGCUAAAGAUACUUAAUCUAAUGCAGAAAAACAUCAAUUUCACCAACUUCCUAAUACUUAGAGUUCAAAAAACAGUAAUUGAGUCUCCAUCUUUUACAUAUAAGUUCUUAAUUGCCCCAACGUUAGCUGAAUCAAUCGAGUCGAGCGCAGAGCUAUCAUAGCAUCUAAGUUCUUUUUAUUACCCCACUGGAUUCUAAUUAAUCCCUAAGAAAUCCAUUCUUUAUUCUGAUUCACCCCUUUCCUAAAUCUAUGUCAUCUCGUAAUACAGGCUUCAAUCUAUCUCGUAAUACAGGCUACCUUUUGCUUCCUUACUAGCAGGAUCCGGAUUGCAUCUUCCAACUUGUUGUUCCGUUGCAUGUUCAUCUUCUUGCAGGAAAAUCUCUUAGCUAUGAAGCUUAACCAGAAGAUGGAAUUGCAGGAUCAGAUUUGGGUCUCUAAGGAAUAUUUAGUCUCUUUAUCUCGCAUUCACCUUUCACCUUUCAUUUAAGGAUUCUAAAACAGCUGAUGUCGACUUAACUGAUUCACUUGAAGAACGGAUCAGUUUCAACAGAGGAAGAAGUUCCAGAAUCAGCAGUUAUAUCUUCCGCGCAAGAAACAAGUCCACCUGUUUGUUUUCAUUCUUAUAGAGUUUGUUUGGCAAAGAAAGGAGUUUAUAAGCUUUUAUCGCCCUACUUCCAGUCUGUUCUUUAGCCUAAAUUAUCCUCUUUUGAACUCUUCACUCCAAUAAUCAUAAGUUUGUUUAUUCCCUUAAUUGUGUUUCUUCCAUUAAUAAUAAUAAGAAUAAGUGCGAAGUGAUUACUCAUAACCUUGCCUUGCUUUUUCUAUUGAUUUUGGAUUAAGAACUAGGGCAUCUCAGUAUUAAGUAUUAUAGUAACCUACUUUACUUCUUUUUGAGCUUUGCGUAAGAAAUCCAUUAUUACGGUAAUAAGACUGCUCAACUCCCAAUCACCACUAAUUCAUCCCUGAACCAUAAGCCUUAGCGCCACGAAAGCUCACAUUAGUAGAGAACAGGUUUCGUUCUUUGAAUGGAAUUUAGCAUGCUCAUCUUUACAGCGUCGGUGCUUGUUCUUUCGCAACUUACUAGAAUAGUAUCACCUCACUCUCACCUAACUAACGUACUUGGGCUAACACACCCUGCUCCCCAAAUAAGCUUUUUUUCUCUUGCUUUACUUGUUCGAAAGCUCUUGCGAGACGGGGCGGGGCGAGUGGAGUCGACGAGAUCAGAAUGAUAAUAAGGAUUUGUGCAAAAGGCAUCAAGCGAAGCGGGAACGGGAAGGAAAGGUUUUGUUUUAGUGUUGUCCAGGUGCGAGUAUGGUUGUUAACUUAUAUUAAGAUUGUAGGAAAUUCAAUACGAGCAUUACCUUAUUGCGUUCUUUAACCACGAAGCCGCCUUAAUAAGAAGGGAAAGUCAAGUAUUUGUAGUGGUUUCAUUAAGUUACUCGACUUGUACAGGGCAGCUAUCUAUCAUCGAUAACCAGAAUAGAAUCCAUCUUUCUAGUGGCGAGGAAAAGAGUCAAUUCAGUUUCAUCUCUAUCCCUUUUGUUGAAUGAUUUGCCAUUAGCUCCGUUAUAACCCUAUGUUCAACUUAGAGAAUGGGCUAUUUUACUGCUUUUACUUAGAGUAUAUUAUUAAGGGUAAUAGAGUUCGGGUUAAGAAGGUUGUCUUUUCUUGCUAGAAGAAUUAUAUAAUAAAAGGAUUUAGCUCAGCUUUAAGGUAGAGCUUGUAUAGAAGGACAAUGCAAGCGCUUUGUUGUGCAUUAUAGGGUAGUGGUGCUUUUGUGUCAAUCAAUUCCCGGUCUAUAAAUUGUGUUAAAGUCCUGUUUAUAAGAGUUCUGCUAGAGUCCUCAUUCAGGGUGCUUCUUAAAGUAUAGUAUAGUGAGGGUGCGAAGAAAGUCAGUUUGCCUUAACUCAAACUAAUGGAUUGGAGUGCCGCAGUAGCUCUACGCUCAAGGUGGUUUCGUUCUGUAUAAGGAGUUAUAACCGAAUAAGAAUCAAGAUAAGAUUGAUCCAGUCGAUUGAAAGACCAAUGGAUCACCAUCCACAUGAAGAGACUACAAGGAAGUGCUGCGAUGGGAAAGCACCAGACGAGACCACUGCCUAGUCACUCUCUAUUCCACGUAUUAACGACGACGAAAGAGACAUCGUUGAUCGAAACCAACCUUCUGACUGAACCAGCGUGAUGAACAGAGGCAGGGAACGAUUAAGUGAUGAACUGAUCAUCGAGUGCUUUCUUUAUCCAUUGAAGUGCAAAAAAAGCCCUAAGAUUCCUUUACUUCCCCACACUCCCAAUUCCCCAGAAAGAGAUGAAAUUGAAGGAAGCAUUAAUUUAGAAGCUUGUCGUUUAUAGCCUGUUAACUACUCGGAUAAGAAUUGAACCACACUAAUAAGAAGAAUGAAAUUAGGUAGUAAACAAGUAAGUAGGAGUAGCGGCAUAGCGGUAAGUGUGAGUGAAGGCUUGUUGGCACUGGGUGAAGUCUUGAUAGUUGUAGUUUCAGUCUAAGUAUACAUAGCACCAGUCCUGGGCUACUACUAGUUAGGGCCAAAAAAGGGACUUGUUCAACACUAAGAAAAGUAAUUGCUUGUACCGUUGCGAGUCUAGUAGUCGACUAGCUCCAUCCUAUUCUUAUGUUUCUUACCUUGACCCACUUGUCUAGUCGUUCGUUACUUGGCUCAUUUUCUUCUCAAUCGAAAUUGGGUGCACAAAACUAUAAGGGUAGUGACUUGGCUGAUAGCAAAUAGUUUGAUGCUUACUUGAGAUUAGAUUAGUGGUUACUUGUUGCUACACUGACUUAGUUACUUGGUUAAGUAGUUGGAUGGGAAAAUGACCUAUCAUCUUUUCUUCCCCGUUAAAGAAAUGCAUUUGGAGUGUAUGAAACCAGGUUACCUCUUAGUUGCAUUCUUGGACUGCGGAAUCGCCCAGUUAAAGAAUACCUUCCAAAAGGCUGCCAGCUUGUAAAUGAAGCGAGGGGUCCCGAGUUUACUUGAAUCUUCUAAUAUAAUUAUCAAUGAACAACCAGAUAUCAUAAUUCUCGUGUGCGCCGGUAAAGUCAUUCCUUUCUUGUGGAGAGGCAUGGUAAAUGUUAAGAACCUAAUUAAGAAGUUCGAAAAUGAGUGUUUUUUGCGUACUAGGAUCACCGUCAAUCAGCAGCAGUUUUGUUUUGAUAGGACGACACCGAGGAUAAGAUUAACAGAGAACCAGUCCAAUAAUAAACACUUUUCGCGCAAAGACUCGAUGCUAUACUACUAGGGAAAUCCUGCAGCUGAGAGGUAGCUCACGAAUCUGUCGUAUAAACUGUUCUCUUGCUCUUUGACAACAAGGAGGUCCUCAUAGAUAGACUUAAGGUUGCUAUGGGAUGUAAACACUCUUUUGACGAGGUCAGCAUCGGUAUAGACCUGCUCCCAUGAAUCGAGGCUUUUGAGCUUAGCAAUGAGGUGCUGAUGUCUAUCGGGCAUCUUCUUAUGGAGAUCACUAGCCCGUAUAGAUUCGCUCAUAGUAGAAACUGUAUUAUGGCGCCAUGUGUAAGGAGUGCGGUCCUCCUUCAUUAUGUACUUACAGAUAGUAACCCAUGCCCUAUGGAAAGAGACAUGAAGCAGGGCUCCGUCGAACUCAGGGAAAAGCUUCCGAAAUGUUAUCGGGGCACUAAUCUUAUGUAGGCCUUGAUAAAGUAGAAUACCAACGUUCAAGUGGUGGCCAUGGACGCUGCCCUUGAGCUACAAUGAUACUGAUGCAUUGGGGAAUAGUUUCAGUUAUCCUACUUACGAUGACCGAGGCAGUGAUAGCAGACCUCUCUGGGGUGGCAUCGGCUCUGGAGAGUUUGAGUAGAAUAUAUUUCAUGUAGUUAUGAUGUAGCUUAGAAGGAACGGGAGGUUAGCUUGUAUUCAUGAUAUCGGAAAGAGAAAAUAGAAUGCCAAUGCCUAGAUGGCGGUAAAAGGGGCCAAAUAUACCGAAAAAGAAAAACGAAUAAUUGAUAACCAUUAAUGACUAGUGGAGGAGAUAUAGUAAUCCCUUCGGGUACUUAGCUACUGUUUGCUUAGCUCUGAUACAUACUAUUUCUCUACUCAAAAAUGAUAUCUGUGAUUAUUAUAAGAUGGAAUUUGAAAGUGAAAAGAGACUAGCAUAAGUUCCAGAAAGAAAUCCAGUGCUCUUCUCCGGUCUUAAGUAUAUACUUAUCUGGUUGUUCAUUAUACGUUACUUGUCUAUCCGUGUCUUGGUCACUGAUUUUGUGUCGAUAGCUAAUCCUACAUUUCCUGCCCCGAGUAAGGCUUCUAAUGAAUUUGAUGCCUAUAACACAGGAGUCAAAGAAUAAUGGUAAGCAAUGUGAGACUAAUAGAUAGGAAGCACGGCCUCACUAGUGAAAUACAGAAUGCAAAUCCGGAGUAUAAGCAUGAAAGUCAGUAGUGCCAGGCCAACUUGUGUGUUCAAUUCCUAGUGCAAAGUGUGUUCUGCCCUAUAGCCCCAGCAUAGUGAGUCGAAGAAUUGAAACAAGAUAUACGUAAUGCAACUAAGGAGUUAGGCUCAAACUGGGAGAAACAAUGGAAGGUCUGCUCUUCAUUCUCAUACGUAGAUAUUCUAAUAUAAGUCCCAUUCUUAUUCCGCGUCCGAUGCUCCCCUGUGUGUACUAUCAGUGAGUUUUCUUCCUGAGUUCUAUUGUUUGUGCACGACUCUAUUAAUUGAGACGCAUUUCCUUAUUGUAAGUAAAAGAGUGAGAAGCACUUUGACAAGCCUGUUUGCCGCUAGUCACAUUAUGAGAAGCACCAAUUCCACUCUUAUAGGUAGUAUGUUUCAGUUUAAGAGAAAGUAACGGUAGACCCAAUCCAAGAAGCAAGGAAGCAAGUCAUUUGUUUUAGAGUCAAAGACAGAGGAUAGUUAGAAUCCAGCUAAUAAGUCAAGUAAUGAACUAUAGUGCCUAGAAAACUAUAGCGAGAAAGUCAGAAUAAACCAAGCAAUACUGGAUAUCAGGCAUAGCUCUAAGACAUUAUGGAAAUAGUAAAUACAGAAUUGGACAGUGCUCCGCUAAUCCUUAAUCCUUCCUCGCAUUCUUAUUGUUAGUUAAAGAGUCAACUCCAACCAAGGGCGCAGCUGGAGCUAGAUUCAAUGAAUAAGAUGUAAGUGGCUUCCGAUCCGCUCCUUACGUAACCUAGCCAUUCCCUUACAGAGUUGGUUACUUAUAUUUCUAUUAUACAUGGCUACAGCCUCAUACUAGUGUAUGCUUGUAUACUUGCCUAGUAGCUUGCCUGGUCAAAAUCUCAUAAGCCUAUAGAAAACCCGGACAAGAGUGAAAAGAAGGAGUUAAGAAAGGAGUGAGAAUGAAAUACAGGAGUCCGGAGUGACAGAGCAAGAGGGUACAGAUGGGUAAGGGUAUAAAGAUGUUAGGCUAAAAUGAAAUAGAACAAGGGCUCGCUACCGCGUAAAUAGUAGUUAGUGUUGUGCGUCAGGCUCGUGUUACCCGCGGCGAAACAAGCAAGGUUGCAAAAAGACUCAAGGGAUCCUGCAGAAAGGGGAAGGAUAGGGGUGUAAUAGAAGAAGUAACUAAACCAAACCUAGUGCUACUUCUAGCAAAUCUAACAACUCAAAAGAAAACUCCCCAGAAGAAUAGGCUUUAGCAAAGUAGGAUAUAAGAAGGGAGCAGCUAACUAUGCGCUCUCCACUCUAAAGUCACAAUUGACCUCCAUCUCGGUAAACUAGUGCUGUAUACUCGCAAUAAGGAAUUUCAUAAGAGAACUGUAAGCAGGAAAUAAAGAAUAAAACGGAGAAGGUUCAGAAUCUAAAUAGAGAAUUAAUGCAAUAGGUAGGAAUAGCAGAAUAGCCGCCAAGCAAUGAAAUACGAGUUCCUGUGUUGCUUCGUCGACAACCCAGUCACUCACCAAACCCUGUAUUUUGUAGAGCGAAAGAGAGAGCUCCCAAAAACAGGACUUGGCCUAACAACUAGGCUUGUAGUCGAGUCGCCCCUUAUGCGUUGUUUAACCUAUGGUAAACUUCUCCAAUAAGGAAUCGUACAUUGAGAUACCCGAAAAGCUUUCAAAUGCAUUAAAGUCAAAGAACAUAGACUUCAUAACUAUACCAGCUCCUAAUACGGAUACAGAUGGAUCUUGAAUACUUAGAAAUCACAGAAUUCACUGACGUACCGAGUCCUAAUUUGUUGGGGUUAGUUAGCUCGGUUCUUUUCUUUGUCAGUUCAAUUAUCUUCUUAAAGCAAAGGAGCUCGCACCGCUAACGCUUACUCUUUGGCUCGGGGUUCCGUUCUUAAUGCAAGCAAUGCUGGUUGUUGACUUUCGUCUCUAAGUGGAUAGCCAUAUUCUUUUCUUUCUUCAGUCAUUGUACUUGUUCAAUUCUCUUCUUUUGACUUUCCGGGGGUAGCGCCUAUCCGUACUCUCUCUUUCUUUUGCACUCAAUGCUGUUUUGCCGAUAUGAUAGUUACUGAGCACUCGUGAGCACUGGCCCUACUGCCUAUAUUAGGGUAUAGCAAUCAACAAAAUCCAAAUCUUGCUUGCUUUAGGAGUUAGAGUUAAGGGUUUGUUAGUGAGCUCGGGUGUUUACUAGGUUGUUGUUAUAUACCAUGUCAGUGAUUGGAUUUGCUUUUGCUAUUAAGAGAGAGACUAUCUUUAUUCACUAUUCCGACUAGCCAAGACAAAGGAGACCCUGGAAUAAGGCCACACUGAGCGCUAAGGCUAACUGGAAGACCCAAUAGGAUAAAGCCUGAUGAAUACUUUUCAUCCACGCUAACCACCACAGGCACAAGAGAUGAUAGGCAAUAGUGCGGUUCUUCUUAGUAAGUGACUUUUGUAGCAUAGCAGUCCUUGCCGAUAAAGAAAAGAGUCGUAAGGCCGAUAAAUGGUAAAGGAUUGUAGUCUAGUCCUGUAUAUCAAAGCCAAGUUCAACUCUCACCCCCGAGUAGAAAGACAAAGAUAGGGGAAUCCAUAUCGCCCGGCCCGAGAAAAGGUAGUUUAAUAAAAGGUAGGUGGGAAAGUCGAAUCAUUUAGGUUUGAUAGUGUUUUUGUGGCGAGAUCAUUAUAAGUCUUUUCACUCUUCUUUCUCAGCCGGUGCUAGCUUUUAUGGUGGUCAGCUCUGAGGAAAGCCCCUUUCUUUCUUUAGGAGCGAAAGAGGAUAGAGGAGUUUCAGAAAACAAGAAGAAGCUAAGCUGCUAUUCUCUUGCAGGUCUGGUCUUGAGGGUAGGGCAGUAGGAGUCAAGGCAAUAGGAUCAAUCAAUCAGUACAAUAGGAUCAAUCAAUCAGUAUCAAGAAAGCUCUCUCUAUAAGCAUCGGUAAAGGCUUGAGUCUUGGGCUAGUUUCUUUGGGUGCGAGUGAUGUCGUUUCGUGGAGUUAUUGUGCUUGUUUCACUGACUUAGUAUAUAAGCAAGUCACUUGACACCUAUUCUUCUCGGGUUCGGGGCGCACAUGUCUUUCUUAUUGUGGCUUGUUCGGUUAAGUAGGCAGUAGCUCCUUAAGAGGCCAUCAGUGUUGUCGUAUCCAUUGGGUAUUUCGCCAUAUUGAGAACAGUUCUCGUUGGCUUAUGUUCCAAAUAGAGUAUCUAGUAGCUCUGAGUUAAGUAUAAAGUAAGGGCCGGGAAGGAAGGAAUCUAAGGUAAAGGAAGGAAUCUAAGGUAUUAGCUACUGGGCGUUGACGGGAAAGAAGGAAUCCCAAUCCCAGGUGAAAAGAAAGAGGAAGCCUGUUUGCCAGCUGCUAGAAUACCUCGCACUACCCUUCAUUCUUACUUGCUCCGGCAUCAAAGAUAUAUUCCUCUUAAACACCCGUACCCACAUCUUGAGUUUUAGCACCCGAACUCACUCUAUUCUAUCUUACUAAAUGUGCUAUUGCGGGAAGGAAUCAACUUCACUUCUUUAUUAACCCCGGGCAGCUUACUUACUUUAUACAACAGAACCACUAACUGCAUCCUUUCUUAGAGGAGCCAUAGGUAUAGGAGCAGGAUAAGAGGCAGAAGGAGAGGAGCCUAAUUCCGUUAAUAGUUGACUACGGUAGAGGAGCAAUAGUUCAAAGAAGAGACAGUUCUCGUUAUGGGUGCCCAGCCAGAAGGGGAGAGAGUUAUGAGCUUCAACUGUGUUCGGUGUUUAGUUUGUUCUCUGACUUUCGAUGUCUUCUCGUGUCCCGCUCCUUCCAAUCACUACAAGGGAAGGGUUUUGACAGCCCCGAGUCUAGAGAUGCAAUAAAUUCUUUCACUUAAGGUCGUUUCCGGUGCUUUUUGCCUAAUUCCAGUUACGUUCCCGUGUUGGUGCUGUAGUUCCUUGUCGAGAGAGGUGAUUGCCCUGUCCUGUCCGGGGUAGGAAGUAACGCAAAGGCCAGAAUCUGGAACUAAUAAUGUAUGAAAAUCUGGAACUACAUAAUGUAUUAAUUGGUUGCUAUGCACGAGUGCUGUGUUCGCCUGUCCGGGGAUUCGCGCCUAUGUGUUCAGUAGGGAACUAAGGGAUUCUAGCUUGGCACUUACUACGUUGCUUGGCUGUCUCUUUACUAAUCUUUAUACUAUAAUAAUCAAGAUGAGAAUUGGAAUCAAAGUGGGAAUAAAAGAAUCUAGUACCGGUUCGCAAGUAAGCAGCAACAAUCGAUUAUAAAAGUAGAAUGCCAGCGGCAGUAGCCCCAGUAAGGAACUAAAGUAGUUUACAGAGGUCUCGAUUCUAAGCCUGGAUUCCAGAUGGUACCACCUCGAAGUUACAGGGAUCUGCACUAUUGUCUUCUUCACUCUUGUCCCUCUGAUUUCUCUUAGCCUUGUUCAGGAAUGACUCUAACCGCUUAAUCCUUUUGAUGGGUAUUCGGUCAUGAAAGAAUCAUUUUUUGCACUUCAUCACAAUGACACAUGUGAUCUUGUUCCUAGAGACCAGGAGAUGCCUCUUCCUGCUUUGAAGUGGGUGUUCCAAGCUAAAGGCGGAUGAGUCGGUGGGAACUUAGCAAGACUAGUUGCAAAACAAAAGGCUACAACCAAAAGGAAGUGAUUUCGAUGAAACCUUGAGUACCCGACCCUCUUAUUAAGCCUAAAACCAACUAUUCCUUCUUGCGUUGGCUCUUAUGAACAAGUGGUCUGUAAGACAGCUAGAUGUCAAAAAGAUCUUUUCUGCAUUGUUAUCUUCCGUUAAGGAGAGAGUUUUCAUGGAGCAACCUACGAGCAACCAACACGGGUUUUGUAAGCACUGAUCAUCCGGAAAUAUGCCUGUGUUUUUAAGCCUUACUCAAUUCUUCUGUGAUCAGCAACUUGGAUUCGAAAAAGAAGGAAAGAACAAUAGAAGAGAAAGCGAAAGCUGGCCAAGCUAGAGAAAGCAAAGUCAAUAUGGCUAUUAUGAGCGUUUAACAUGCAUUCCAUUCCACUCCGCAAAUGGCUAAUCACCUCUGUAUGCUGUUCUAAUGCAUUUUGGCUUUAUAACAUGACCCGGUCUAAACCGCCUUUCUAGUUGUACAGGGGGUUCUUGACUCUGACUUCCCGGUCUAAACCGCCUUUCUAGUUGUACAGGGGGUUCUUGACUCUUACUUAUAUGCAUAUCGGCACCUAAAUAGAAGUCGUUUUGAUUUCCCAGUAGCUCCUUGCCUUGCCUUAACCGAUAAUGCGUGGAAGGAGUCGGAAUGCAGCUCGUUGCUUUGCUUCACUUCAAGCUGUUAGUAAUAUGUACGAAUGUAGUGUUCCGCAGAUAAGACAGGUACAGCAGAUGAGUACAGGUGUAAGAAAGAGGGAAAGGUUCGCUUCAAACCACUCCUUGACCUUGUUUCAAUUAAGAAUCAAUUCUAGUAGUUGCUAGUCGGGUUGAUUCGGCUGCUGCUGUAUAAGAGGAAACUAAACUCGUAGAAUUAGAUACGAGGGAGCGGUCUUCAACUCUUUCUCAAGUGUAGUAGGCCGUAGAGGAGGAUUCAGAUUAAAGGUUUUGUUCGUCCACCUGUUUUCGUUCCUUUCCCUUAGGAGUGAAGUUCCGUGUUCCAGUCGACCGAGAAGAUAAAAAGAAGGAAAGAACAAUGAGAGAAAGAAGAAGGUAUACUUCACUCUUCGUGCUAAACAUGUUCUGAUCCCAACAACCGGGUGUGGUGUCAGUGAUCAGUCCCGCUAGAAUGUAUUUCCUCCCUUUGUUUUAAGGAUUAGCAAUAACACUUGCACGCCAAAGUGGGAAAGUCAAAGAAAAGACGGGAAAGUCAAAGAAAAGACAUGAGAUCCAUUUCAUCAAACCCUUUAUGAAAAUACAAGACAAUUAAGUUAUUGGGCGAAGCACUUCUUCGACUGCCAUCCCAGUCAACGGAAAUGGGACUAACCGCUUCCGUGGGGAUUCCAGAUCAGAGAUUCUUUGCUCCGGAUCCAGACAUGCUUACCUAUGGGUGGCAGGUCCCUAUAUCCUAUCCAGAAGAUAGUCGAAAGAUAGAAUCAAAAGCCCUAUCUUUGAAUACCGGUGAGAGAGUAAGGGAGAGGCCCUCUUCCUGAAUAAAUAAGAAAGAGCCAUCUAUCUCGCCAGUCAAUAUAUGCUCUUAGCCAUCUUUACAAAAUGGAAGUGGAAGAUCAAAAGAAAAGCAAAGCUCCCUGACGCCCAGCAUGUUCCCAAACGACUCCAACUUCAAGGUUGGAUUAAGACUAAUCGGGUAUAGGUCCGCCCGAGACUCGUUUCCUUAGAAUGAGUAACUAAUACAAUAUUGCACAAGUAAUCUCCACAACAGGAUCCAGCAAUAAUGCAUGUGUCAGAAUAGCCUUUGAAUCCUUCUUAUCCGCCCCACACAAAGAGAAUAGAAUGCCAUAUUGCAAAGCUCAGACCCGAAACCAACCCUUUAUUGUAGAGCAUUGCCUUAACGUAAUCAGUUGAUCAACUCCACAGAGGCAUAAGAUUAUUGCUGAUUUCUGGGAUCCUUAUUGAUUGCUUGCUACGUGUCUUCAGAAGAUUGAUUAGACAACGGAACGAAAGCCAUUUCAUGCUUACUAGAGCCGCUCAUCUUUGAGCUAAAGAAUAUGAGUUAGGUCCAACACCGACCAAGACUAUAGUUGUCCCGAAACAAGAGAGGUUAAUUCAUUUCUUAUUGCACGAGUAGCGCUAUGCAACAAGGGACUAAUUGGGGGCAUUGAAGAAUGAUCGGCAAAUAGCACUCCUCACUCUAUUGUCAAUUCUUAAACAAACAGCUCACUCCUCUUACGAGCCAAUAGCAUAUCCUCUUACGAGCCACUCCUCUAUGAUGAACUAAGAAAUGAGAGUCUUAAAGAAAUGAGAGUAUUCUAUUAUGAGUCUUCUAUGUAAGUAUUACAGAAAUAUGAGUCUUCUAUGUAAGUAUUACAGAAAUGAGAGUAUAACUUCUAUUAUUAGUAUUAUCUUAUUAGAAAAAGCUAUUGAUGCCUGAAAAGGACUGAUGCUUCUAGUUGAUUUGAUGCCGGGUACUGAUCCCCAUAAAGAGAAUUCUAUCUUGAGAUGUACCGUCCGGGAUGGUGCGCGUAGGGAAGGUGAUGCAAGUUAAGGUGAUUGAUUGCUUUUCCAAAAGGCUCUGACAGAGGUGCAAGGGAUGUGGGAGGAUUUGCUAAUGCGCGCGCGUUGACUAUCGAUCGGUUCUAAUGCGUUGACUAUCGGUUCUAAUGCUUACUAUCGGGGGCUCUUAGAUAUGGUUCUCGAAUAGGAAGAGAGAGCGGGAGGGUACAGUCCCAUACAAGAGAAAUACAUAUUGAUGAUUUGGUAUUGAUAGGCUGGAGAGGAUUCGUUUGCCUCUGCUCCUGCAAGAAAGUAAUAAUAUAGAUAUCGAACGUAAGCUGGCCGCUGGUUAAUUCCCCUAAAGGUAUAAAGCUGAGGAUUAGUGUGUUCACUGGUUAUGGAGAAAGAAAAGAGCAGUGCUGGUGUUAACAAGAUAUUAUAUGGGACGGGCUCAACGGAUUAUGGGACAAGAACGGAGCUAACCUUGCUUGCUCCUGUCCAUGCAUUUGGAUUCGCACCUGGAAGUGGGACUGAAGCUCUGCCUCCCCCGCCUUGACUUGAACUUGGACUCCUAUUGCCCUUGUAGCGUUGGUGAAAUGGUAGCUUAUAGCUCUGCCCUUCCUUUUCCAAAACAACGAAAGAACCAAUUCAAUUAGCUCGUUAAGAAGAAAAUGAACUACCUAUAAGAAUGAAGCAAAGCAGUCAGGGACAGUGGGGGUAGUAGGUUAGGCGCAAACAUAGCCCAUUGAUCAAAAGAGCCCGAGGAUUAGCGGGCCUCUUCGUUGCGCAUGGAGUACAGCUUCAUAAGAUUCUCAAAUAAGGUCUUUCUUUCCCCUUUUGCCUACCUCGGCCGGUCCCGUACGAAUGCGUCUAACAUUGUUUCGCGUCUCAGUCUGCCUUCGUAUCAUAUGUAGUAUUAUAUGUAUCCGCAAUCAAGCUAUUUUCUCAUAACGCGGGGCGGUCGGUCAGUUGUCACUAUAUUUCCGAGAUAUAAACAGCACUACAGUAGGGUGCCAUAUUAACUCCAAUCUAGGAAGUAAGUUAAGACACCGGGUCAUAUAAAAAAGGAGGGGGGAAAUAAUCUGCCUUCCUUCGCCACUUAUCUUUACUCAUACUUAUAGUUCAUGCUUUAGCUUAAAGCGUAAGAGGAUGGAUGUGAGUCGAUAAGUUUUUCACUAGAUUCCAUGUAUUCUAUAAUGCUAUAUAUGGUGUCUUGGCCAAUCUACUAUCUCGAGCUGUUAUAGGUUUUUUCUUGAUAGUUAGUAAUUUCCUGUCUACUUCUUAAUUCAUUGGACGAGAGAGAACAGUGUGCUCGACUGUGGUUGUGGAGUAGUGGGUCUAAGCAUUAAAGUUCAGUGUCGGCAUAAGCAGUUUCAAGAGAGAGUUCAGCAAAAGCAAAAGAUAAGGGAAGAGUUUAUUUACUUAGAUCUAUAUCGGGUGCAAAAGAUAUUCCAUUUCAUGAUUCAUACGACAAGGCCUAGCCGGAUUCCGUGGCUAAAAGAGUGACACUCAACUGGUUCUCUCGGUUGGUUAGGCAAGGGAGACUGUGACUAGUGCUUCUAAUAUUCGAACUAAAAACGGGUGACCAAACUACUGAAAACAACCUUCCAUUUGACUCUUCAACUAUGAACUAAAAGAACCGAAUCCUCCCCACUGCAACUAGGCCUCACUGCCCUUACUCUAAUUCUAUCACUGCUGAUCCGGCCAAUGAUAACUAGAAUUGAGCAAAGGCAUAUGAUACUGUCCUCCCGGGGUAAUAAUAGAACCCCUUAGAAUAAGGAAUAAGGGUUGCAGGGUGUAGAACCAAACAGUAUUAGUAUCAUUCGGGUACGAUGUAGCACAUACCAAUAAAGAACUUCAGUAAUGUCAAUCAGAAUCAAACAAGCAACUAGGGCUUCACUACCGGGGGGUUAUCUUACUCUUACUGUCUAUGCGCCUCACGCUACUGCCUUUCAUCCUAUAAAUAACGUAUAGCUCUAAGACUAGUUGAUUUCCUAUUUCUUAGUGAAAGUAGCAUUGAUGCCAUUUCUAUUCCGUUUUCAAGUCAGAGUAAGAAGAGGGUUGACUCCCUAAGCCGAACAGCAGCUACAAAAACCCCUUUCUUUGUACUAGAAAGGUACGACUCAUAAGGGGUGAAAGCGAAUCCAAAAUAGAAGGGUCGAAACAAGGUUAGAUAGCGUGCCAGCUGCAACGAGGGUAUUGUCGUAUAUAGAAAUAGGAAGCUAUUGUCCUAGAUAGAACUUUGCUGGGAGAAAGCCUUCGAAAGGAUGUAGAAAUACCAGCUCAGAAGGAAGGAAGAUGGCUCAUAUGAACAAUCCUAUGGAAGGGAAGCCGAAGAAGUCCAAUUUCUUAAUGUAUUAUAAACACUCUCCAGAGCGGAUGCAACCAAGGAGAGAGCUGCCAUCAGCAGAGAAGAAAUCGCGAGAAGGAUUGCGGAGCUCCUAGUGUGUGCAAGCAUCGUAGUUACUUGGCCGGGAUGAAACUCUCAAUCAACUCUCACUCUCACUCUCAAACACCGGGUUAAAGAGACUCUAAACCAGAAACGAGUCCUGUUAUCGGGGCGGAAAGUGUUGUUUGAAAGGAAGGCCAUAAUCCAGGUUUGGAAGCAGUACUUGAGUUUCAAGAUAAAGAGAGGUGCAGCAAGCCGGAGUAGGAGAUCCUAAAAGUAUCCUUACGUCAAUUCUAUACCUAGUGCAAUAGAAUAUAAACUUUUUGGAAUUGAAAACAGAACACAUGAGAUGAGUUUAGUGCGAAGAAAGGAGUAGAGAGCAAAAGAAGGAGUAGGUGAAAACGGAACUCCCUCUGAACUUCAUAUAAUGCAUAUUGUCCUUAUCGCCGUAGCUUGUUUAAUUGAAUCGCAACUUAACGAGAUACUUGACUUUAGACUUCACUUCUAGCAAGCAGGGUAGCCGCGAUUGACUUCUUGUGCUUGCUUGAGCGGGUCAGGUGCUAACGUUCAUUCAUCAAUUCCUUAAUGGUUUAGUUGACACUGUCCCUAACACUUGAAUUCAAUUGAGACUCCCUUAUCCCUGCACCGACAUAAGAAUCUUAAUCUCUCUCUCUCUCUACUAUAACACAAGUCCUUUCUCCGUAGAGUUAUUACCUAACAAGUCACUACUUUAGUUGCUGGGCGGAAAGGGAAACCUGUCAAUCAGGCUCCACAAGGAAAGGGAAACCAGUCCUGUCAAUCAGGCAAAGGUCAAGCAAGCCUAUUACAGAAGCACUAACAAAGGGAAACCAGUCAAGCAGCCAAUAAGCAAGGAAAGGGAAACCUGUCAAUAAACAAAGAAAGUGGAGGUUGGCUAAAUGGAAUUAGUGGAAUUGGUAUCGCGGAACUUCCGGAGUUAAGAUCUUAAAUAGAAUGUCUUGAUCUAUGGCCACUAUAGAACUACCCGCUUCGGUGAGCGGCGAAUUAGUGAGCUGUCUGAGAGAUUGGAGAACCAUAAUUCUCCUUCCGGGUACGGACGCCUGAUUGACUUCUAUUCAAUAAGUCAGUUUUGAGCAAUUGAGGCACGCACAGAACUAGCCAGAAACCUAUUGCAAGAGAUUAAUUAUAACACAUGAUAUUAAUAAGUAAGAUGCACUUUAUUAAGAUCUUUCUUAUUCUCCAAAAUCAGGGGCAAGGCGAUUGAUCGAGAAAGCUCUCUUGUGAUUAUUAGAAUGGAAUAGAGUGAUUUUCUCCGCAUAUGGUUGGUAAAAAGAAGAAGAUUCCACCUCCCCUAUUGAUCAGAAAUCAGAAGUUAUGCUGUAGUACUUGCCUUUGUCGUGAACUAAUGAAAAAACACCGGGCCGCGGAAGAGCAUUCCCUGUUGAGAGUCUCGAGUGAAAUAAUAAGUACCAAAGUAAUGUCAUUCUAAAUAGAGAAUAUCUAUCCCUUUUCGCCCAAGAUCGAUCAUUACUAUUAUUCUGUAACUCUAAGAAAGAGGUAAUUCAAAUCAUAUGAUUGACAUCUAAGAGAAUCACACGAAUUCUUUCUAUCGAUGGAUUAGCUUUGGAACUGAUGCGAAUGAAAGCGCAGAAGGUUUUGUCUGUUCCGAGAGACAACACUGCUACAGGAUUUGAUACUGCAUGAUCUUAUACUUAUGGAACAAUACUGGAAAUCUCGAACUACACUUUAGUACACAUACCUUGCUUCAAAACCAGCCACAUAAGAGGAGUUGACCCUGGCCUGGCUAAGAGGAUUUAGGGUGCGCGCGAAGUACCAUAGUUUAUUGAUGGGCAUGCGCUUUAUUCUUCCUUGUAUACGAGUUCGGUGAGAGACAGCAUCCAACUCCUUCUGCUCUGGAAGUGUAUUUUUGCCUCAUUUGCUAUGGUUCAUGAAGUCCUCUAUGAAAGCUUUCUUAAUCAGAAUCUAUCUAAACUAAAGCUUUAUUAAUAAGAAUCUAUCUGCUCUACACGAAUUCCUAUCGUCAGCUGCUUUUUCUUUCUCAUAGGCUAAAGUAACUUAGAGCAUCAAGGAGAAGUGAGAAAUCUGACAAACCAUUAUCUCCUUCGCAAAGCAAGGAAAGCCUAAAACUACUGUAACGUCCUUCUUCAUGUGCACGUGGAUAUCCUGACUCUUUCUCUGACUAAUGUGCCAUUUGAUCUCGGGAUGGCCUAAAUGGCUUUUUCCUGUUAUACCUCCCCGGUUCCUCAGAUUCGGAUUAGUGCAAAUAGCCUCCGCAUCAAUAGGGAAGUGCUCACCAUGCUAAGCCCGUUUACGCUGCAAAGUCAUUUUACUGAAGACUCUACUAUCUUCAUGCCAAAGAAUCUUUUUUCCACUUCUUCUCAAACCAAACAAGAAAAGCAUAUUCUUGCGGGGAUUCUCGAACAGUAAGAGCGUCGACUGAUGCAUCUAUACUAUUGAGAGAAAGAGAAGAUUGGACUUGUUUGACACUUCGGCGGGUCCUACUACUAUAAGGCUUAUCUACUCCUGGAGGCAAGGGGCCAAGCAACGAGACAAGUGAACUUAGCAACUACUUCUCUAUUUACUACUUGCUGAACACAUGGGUUUGACUACUCCCUUAGCACAGAGGAUUUGUUACUACAGAGUUGUGCCUAAACCCUAACUAUAAGUACAGAGUUGUGCCUAAUAGGGGUGCAGCGUAUGGGUCCCUAAAGGAAGCAGUGUCAACCACUAUAUCUCUCAGUUUCAGCCACUAUAUCUCUCAGUUUCAGCCUGGAAUUUGGGUCUCGCAAUUCUUCUCUUUUUAUGGGAAAGAGAGGGUCUCGCAAUUCUUCUCUUUGAUUUGAUGGGGCUGAUUGGUAAUAGCAACAACUGGCACAUUCCUUUUCUUCGUUCAAAUUCUUCCAUACUUACAUAAUAGAAUACAAUCUGCACUGUUGCCCCCAUCGAGUACUCUCUUUAGGGUGUAGUUAGCAGCAGCGAUAUCUUAUUUGGAGUUAUUUUCCCCUAGUCCACCUCUCUUUGCCUCGAACCUAGCCUUACUGCCUUUGAGUUUGACCUUACUUGUUUGAAACCUUGAGCUAGCGCUACCGAGACCUACUUCCCUGCCCAUUAUUCUGACUCUGACUUUAUUUAAAGCUAUAUUUUACCUAUUAGGCUGACUCUUCUUUCUAUCAAACUUAUACUAGCACCUCGAAUACUCCAACUAACAACAGCGAAUCCCCAGCGGUACCCUCGCAUACUUGAAAUAGAAAUAGGGAAACCAGCUACCACUUAUGAAACUGACUCAGCGAACCAAACCUUACUCGCUAGCCCACCGCUACUGGCUUUAAAGCUGACUUGACUUGUUUACAAACUGGUCUAAUGCCAACAAGGCUUGCUCUCAUAGCGGGGAAUCCAACAUAGCCCACAGAAGAAAGGGAAUCCGAACCCGAGUAGUGACACUCAAUAGUAUAGAGAAGAGAGGACCUACUAAACAAAGAAGCUAGCCUGCCUAUCCUUAUGAAAAGUAUACCGAUCGGGGGGAAUCUAACUGCUAAGCCUAAGGAUGGAAAGUUUGAAUUGAACUCACAAGUAGGAAAGUAGGAAAGUCAGAAUCAAACCCGAAAGUAGUGUCCCGUCCGAAAGAAUUGAACAAGUAAGUGACUGACGCGUAACUCACUCCCUUAACAGACUAGUAUCGGUAGGCUAUCCUGGCAUUCAACUAGUAUCGGUAGGCUAUCCUGGCAUUCAAAAGCUUACUGUUUUAUGGCUGAUGAUCCUUUAUGAUAGGGUUCGAACUCAACUCUAUUCUGUAAUUCCUCCAUGGAAUCCUGCCCGCCGCGCCUGCUCCGAGAUACUUUCCAAGCACAGCUAAUUAUUUAACCAAAGCCAAUAUGACUUGCACGCUUGCUUGGGACUUGUAGAUUAGAGUCCAGCCCAAGUUCCUGCUCGAGUGUGAGUUUGACCCCGGCUUUUUAGUGUAGUUGAGUGCGCCAACCAAUACUUACUGGGGAAAUUCCUUCUCAAGAACCGCUCUUGCCUCUAGUAUUGUUGCCAGAGAAGAUGUGGAUCAGCAGAUGGUAUUGCAAUAAGGCAAGCUUCUACCGCCAGACAAGUAAUAGCGUUGAAUUGAAGAAUAGAAUGUGGAAUUUCCCUUACUGGCCUAUUACUUAUGAAUUGAGUAGCUCAUUAAUGCACUGACUCUUGCCCGAACUACACCUUUCCCACUUGUUCCUUCUCUUUCUUCCACCGAUGAUCCUGAUCUGUAAACUAAGACUGGAAAUGGAACUAUUAACUCUAUACCGUUAGCUCACUUCAUAUUAUCAAAGAGACUUAACUCGAACUGGCGUUAGCUGCAAGUAUGGAGUUCCAGGAUUGCUCACAGUAUAAAGAAGGAGACAGGUUGACUCACAGAUAGACUUUCCCAAAAUCUUUCUCCCGGUACGACAUCUAGGGGAAAUGGAUACUAGUCUGGUCAGGACCAAGAGCAACUCGACUCAAAGGAGAGCUCAAUUACAUCGAUCGACCCUUAUUCUCCUCUCAGUCCACUAGCAAUACACCAGUAAGUAAGUACAGUACGGAUGCUUUGAAUAGCCCUACAAGUCUUAUCUUAGAGCUAGGUAAUGCUAACAACAAUAGAAAAUACUCUCAUCUCAAGUAAUAGCGAAGCCCUAUUCUGCGGAGUUUCCUUUGACACGUAAUAAUAGACAUAAGAUAGAGGGAGAGAUCGAGAUUACAUCCCACCAGGACGAGGUGUUACUAAUUCCCUUGUUUUCAAACCAAUAGGAUAGGGUAAUAAGGAAAAUAGCUCGGUCGGUAUCAUGAGCUCGUCUGUCUAUCUUUUAUAUCAUUAUUGUUGCUAAUGAAGUUAGGGCUUUUGCUAGCUAUUAUAUGAGAAAACGAAAAACCUAUUACUGCGGCGGCGUAGCGAAGCUAUCGGAAGUACUUUCAUAAGCAUCUCUGUCGCUCAAUAGCAAGCCUUCGUUACUACUAUUUAUUGGGGGAACUUCUGCAUAUAAAGAUGCCUCUAUCAAUUCAUUUCAUUUGUUCAUGUUGGGCACUAAGUUAGCAUGAAUGGCUAAAGAGCUCAAUGAAACUUUCCGAUAUGGUCUCGUAAUCAGAGGGCGUCUUCCGAUGCAAGGGAAUGCUAUCUAUCAGACAAUGGAUAGUAUAAUCUCCGAUAGGCAAGUUCGCUUGUCCCUCUCCAGGGGAUCCAUGAUAUAGCAGUCAGCUUUACGAUCCUAGGUAGGACUCACACUUUCUUUUCACAACCACUUGUGUUUUUUCUCUUAUGAGGUAAAUAACCCAUCUGGCUUGUCAAAGAAGCAAACAAUCCUAGCUAUAUCUGUUGCCGCCUUUUCGUGUGGUGAAAUGACUGUCCUUUCUUUUAUUAACACUGACUCGAUUCAAACAAGCUUUUCUUUUUUCAAUGGGAAUCUCUUGCUUUCACUCGCGAAAAAGAAAAUGGCCUGCAAUCCACAUGGAACUACACUACAACUGGAUGGAAAAGGGAUGCCAGAAAAGAGACAAUCUCACUUGUAAAUAAAAGGCGAAAAAGCUGGCUUUAUCACGUGCUUGCUACUAGCUCGGCUGACCCAUUCUAAUGAAUUGAAAACAAAAAGAGAAAGAUUAACGAGCUCCGGGUUACACAAGUAAAAAAGGAGAUUAGGACUUUCUGACUUAAGAGUUAGAGAUUAGAUUACCAAUAGAGAAAGAACUAGGUAGAUACCAAUAGAGCUCCCAUGACCGAUAACUGAAAAUAGUAUAAGACAUGAAACUGUACUAAUAGUUGAAAAUAGUAUAAGACAUGAAACUGUACUAAUAGUGAGAUUACUGGAAUUGCUACACACAAGCAACCGACCCGCACUCUCCUCUCCCUGGCGCUACUGAGUCAAACAAGAAACCUUGACUUCCCUCUAGGUAGUAAACGUGGUGCUGUGCUUUCUUGCUGCCUUUGUCUAGGGUUGUAUGGUGCUGUGCUCUUCCUUGCUGCCUUUGUCUAGGGUUGUACACCUUCUGAUUCUUGACUUGCUGAAUGAGGCAACUAUACAUACCUCUGGCAACAGCCAAGCGUAUACUAAUGUUGCGCGGAGGAAGUCGGGGGAGCAAUUACAUGUAGUUUGAUACCCUGUAGUGUUAGUCAGCUUCUACGGGGUGCGUUAGUUAAGUGAGUUCCUGUCUUCAUUGGCUAACUAUAGUAUUGAAGCAAUGCUCCGUGUUGUUAAUCUCUUCUAUGUGUGCUGCAACUACUUCAUUCUUUUAUUGUCCUGUUGCUUGGCGGCUUGGCUGGCGCUAUGUGCUCGUGGAAAGACGUAUAGGAUCAAGAGUUCAAAGAGACUGGACUGUUCGAGUAUGACCAAGUCCUGUGUUGGGGGAACCCAAUAAAUACAUUGCUCGAUGCUUGGCUUUCCGUACGAGAUGGAUUCUUGGCAUAGGGAGCUGGUAACCAGACAGCUUUCUUUUUCUUCGGAUCUUGUGGUUGAUCGUGAAAUUCUCCAUUAUGUAUUUCGAGUGGAAUUCGCGCUUAAACCCUAAACAUACCUUUCUUAUGGAAAUUAUUACUGAAUGGAAAGGACUGUUUUCGCCGAGUUGCAUUCCGCUCUUGGAAUGGAAUUCUUUGUUGGCCUGGUGCACGCUAAUUAGAAGAGAAGGUAUACCCCUAAGAAGGAAGUAAAGCACCUAUUACAGCUGGCUCUGCUCCAUCAGUUGACUCUAAUGCUCCAUCCUGGCACUCUUAUCCUAAUUAUGAGACGAAUCUAGCCCAUGACCCAAAUCUGGAAACUAGAACGUAACUUUCAACUCGUAACUCCGUUAGCGCAGAAGAUCUUAGAACUCCCUCCUUACGUGCCGAGUCAAUAAAGACAGAUGAAACUAAGGAUUACUUUAGCUACGAACCUAGACUUUAUUAUAUAAUGACUUUGAAACUCACUCCUACUGUUCAAUCCGGUGUGAAAGCCAACAACUACGAUGGGAGAUAUGAGUGAAACUAGUAGAUGUAUUGGAUUUGAGCGCCGUGCCGCUUACGCUCAUACAAAGUCAAAGUAGUAGAGUGGAGGUGAAAGAAUAGGAGUAUACUAAAUACGAAGAGGCUCAAGCUGGAUCUGGGGAAGAAUCGGUAUAAAUAGAAUCCUACAAUAACCUCUCUCGACAAGGAGCUAGAGCACCGAACAAGCUAUAGUGGGGAGUUCUUAUAAGUUCAAUAUUCUUGUUUGCGAGAAAAGUCAGAAUCAUCCAAGUAAGUAUAGGACUACAAAUUGAUGAGUAUUUCGAAAACAACUCUAAACUAAGGUUGACUCAGGGCUAAAGGAAAGGGAGGCGUUAACGCGAGUUCUCUCACUUACUGCCCGGUCCAACUCUAUCACUUACUGCCUCGACGUAAUAAAUAGAGAUUCCAUUCCAGUUUUCUCGGGGUUAAUUACUUGUUUUCCUUUUCUCGGGGUAUAGACCCACGUAGCUGUAAUAAUCAUAAUUGGAUUUAUCUGCGUUAACGAGAGCAAGAGGCGCGAGGCAAGGAGAGAGAUUCAAUGGGGUGUGGCCAAAAAACCACUGGAUUUACUCUGGGUAACUAACUAACGUGAGCGGAUUAAUCACUUGCACUCAAUUCUUUGUCAGUUCAAUACAAAAUCAAAGGGAAUCAGGUAUCUUUACAUAAGAUUCUCCACGUUGGCUCUUUCUUAUCUGGAUUCCAUUCUGUUAUGCGGGAAAGUCACCUAAGCGAAAAUAGUCAAUUAACUAACGAAACUCCAAAGCUAAGAUUAGAACCUGAAAACUCACCCCAAUUACGUUAACCCCGAAACUGCAGCUGUAACUCGCUUUCGCGCACUAGUACCAUCUGAUGCUUCUUUCUCUUGCUCCCUUCUUUCAAAACGGAUUAAUCUCCUUCUUUUUCUCUGGAAACUGACUCUAUACUUUUAUCUGGAACUCGUAUUGAAACUUCCCUGACCGCUUUACCUUAUCUCUCUUAUUCUCUCACAGACAAAGCUCGAACUGGAAAUCAACCUACUUCAUUACGCCGUCGAGUAAGGUACUUCAGUACGCCGUCUAGGAAGGGUGGGCUUGUCUUGUGUUUAGCAAUGCUAGUUUAGAUGGAAGUUCUUUCUUAAAGGUAUACAUCUAGUACAUUGGGUAGUCAAUUCCAUUGUUAUAGUCAAAGUAAGUAAACUCUAUUCUUAAAGGAAAGAUCACGCCGGGUUGGCUUAAAUAUAAGAUCACUCGGGUUGGGCAAGGUCGAAGAGAAAGGCCUAAUUAAGUAGCCAAAGUCGACAACUGAAGAAUCCGCCAAAGAUGGAGCAGGUGAGUAAAAGUAUCCAGUUCCAGAAGCAUAUAUAUAAGUGGCACCCCCUUAUAUACAAGUUUCAACAACUCUUAUGGCAAAUUACUCAUUUACCUUUCCGUUAGUGCCGAGGAAAACGGAUUAGCUAUAAGCUCUGGUUCAUCUAGGUUAAACAACGAGAAAAGAAAGAUUAAGUGACAGCCAACACCGAGUGGAGUAGUUUGUUUCAUUAUAUAAGCGGGAGGACGUUGCGAGUCUAGCCCAAACUCCGUUUCAAGAUCAAAAUAUAGAUCAGAUGUCUGAGAUAGUACUAGCUUUGAUACAGAACCGAAGAAGAGAAGUAUAAGAAGCCUGAUUAGUAUCAGCUGUUACUGAGGCCUGUGUUCAUAGCCAUAGUCCAAAAUGCAAUUCCAUUCUUAUGUCCCAAGUCCAAGUAAGGGAGGCUAAAGUGGUAUAUGCUUGUCAGCUGCUGACUUAGCGUUUGCUGGUUCUUUUGCCGAUCUCUGAUACUUAGCUCGCCUUAGAAACAAGCACUUAAACCUAUGAUUCUAUCGUAGACAACACUAAAAGCCCUUUUUCUUCAGUCUGAAGUUUGGCCUUCCGCUUUAUCCUUUUUUUGUUUAGUUCUGGUUUGUGGAGUGAUUGUUUCAUCAUAUAAAGAAGAUAUCCUUUUUGAUGCUUAGGAAGGUGGUCAGCUGCUGUGAUAGUUUAGUUCGUGGCAGAAGAAAGUACUGGUUAAGGGUAUACGAGUGAGAGUGUUUUAAGUCUAGAAUCCAAGUUUGAUUGUAAUAAGAGUAAGAGAAAGAAGACUGUCCUGGUAGACUCUAAGCUAAAGGAGUUACUGCCUCGGCGCAAGAAGACUUACCAGACUAAUAAUGAACUUCAGACUCACAUAAGUAUUACCAGGCCCAACAAAAACGCCCGCAAGGAAAGAUAAGAAUCAGAUAAUCAUAAGGGUUGUAUGUAUUAAGAAUCUUAUAAUAAGGGUCUAUUGUAUAGAUCCACGGAGUGGUAAUUAGAGAUAGAUGAGUAAGAGGCUAAGGCUAUAGUAGGGUCAGCGGUAAGCAGUUAGAGAAUCCUAGUCAGCUGUGCCAGUUCAAGUUCUAGGAUCAUCAGCUGUAAACGGUCCUGUGAGAGUGCACUAAUAGGUAUGAGUUAAAGAAUAGAACGGCGUAGCCAGAGGAGAGGAACUCUUGAUUUGUUUACAGAGCCAGAGGUCGCAUAGAAGUUCUCCGAGAUGAGCCUGAGUUAGCUGAGCCGGGAGUUCUUGUUUCAAGUAAGAGAGAGACAACCUCAGAAGUAGGAAUGACAGAAUUAGUUUACAGAGCUAGAGGUGAAGUCGAACCAUCAAGAUGUUAGGAAGAAAUGCACUUAUACCACCGAUACGUCUAUUUCAUAGGUCCAUUUCCCAUCCAACUACUGAACUUAUGUUUUAGUUCCUUUUAUGGCCGACAAGUCACUACUACAAAACCAUAGCAAUGAAUAAAUGUAUUAUAACUCGUUAUGAGCAAGUCCUAAUUAAUAGCGUCAGGCGCGGGGCUUGCCUGUCCUGUGCACUUAAAUAAUGGGGGUAAUAUGAGUUCCAUUAGAACUUUAACCACUGAGUUGCCCUAGAUGCUGUCCUAGUAACUUCAUAACGAGUAACUCACUUCAUAACUAGUAACUUCCUUCCGAGCCUAGUAACUUCAUUGAACAACUACCCUCAAACUACCCGAGUAAGUAAACAAAACACACUACCCCGAGCCUAGUCACUUCAUGAAACAAUCAAUACAGAAUACAGCUGGAAACUACUCACUUAACUUAAUUCGGCUCCUAUAACUUCAUUCUUAAUAAACCACAUAGCAAGUAGUCAACUGGUUCUCUUGCCCUACUCAAUUCUUUUCUCUUGGUCCCACUGAUUGGUAGUCCUUUCCUUGAUACUUUAACCCUAGCAUAAGAAGUAGGAGCUCACACUGCUUAUUCUGAUUCUCGAGUCUACUUAGCUCUAACUGUAGCUUCAGAUACUGAAACUUUCUUUGGGUGCUUCCUUUGCUAUAAGUGCUGAAACUUCAUAAUGUGAGUUCCCCUCCACGCCUAGCUUACUAUUACUGGCCUGUAUGCCCUAAGUUCAUGAGUGAAAUCUAUUACUGGGCCCUAAGUGAAUGAGUGAAAUGCAUGUUUGUUGUCGACUCUAAAUCUGGUGUUACAAAAGAAGCAAGAGAAGGAGUUAUAGGUCAAACGACAGAACAAGCAAGUGCGCUAGUUAUUGAGUUGAAUCGUCAAAAGAAUAAGGAGAAGUUUCAAGAGAAAAUGCUUGAUCAAGAUCUUAAUAAGGGUUUUAGGCUUUCAUACCAUCUUUCCUGAAGUGUAUUGAGUACUUUUGAGUCCUUUCGGUAGAUAGGAUUAAGAAAGUAGUGGUCUUGCUCUAGUUCUCAGAUCUUCAGCGGGAAGUGGAAGUAGCAGCCCUGCCGCUCCAAUGUAUCCGUGUUUUUAAUGAGAUGGACCAUCUAACUACAGACUAACUACAGAAGUUGUGAAAUAGUUGAUUGACGCCUAUUCACUUGAAACCCUAGCUAAUACGGAGCAAGAAUUGACCUAUCUCUUGCAAACCUCCAUUUGAAUGAAAACAGUGUGCUAAAGUUGUUACCGAGUCCGCCAAGCUACCCCUUAUAGUACUGCAGAAUGGAUGUUAGAGGUUAGGGAGCCAUAGUCUUGCUUAUGUUAUGCUACAGAUCCACCUAUUCCUAUUUAUCCCAGUGAAUAAACAUAAUCAUUUGCCAUAGUCGAGGUAUACCGAAUGAAGGAGCAAAUAGUUAAGUGGCACUAGCGUCAGUAAGUUAGAAGAAUGGAAUGGAAUUGCAGCGGUUUCCAGAUCAUCAACAAGUAUAGUAAGGGCGCCCGGAUCUUAAACAAAAGUAAGUAAGUAGAUGUAUCCUUAACGGAGGUAGGGAAUUACUAUAACCACUAUUCAGCAUUCCAGUAGUUAAUGUCAGAAUGAAACUAAGCUGCAGGCAACUCUGAUAUUAGAAUGAAACCACUACUCACUGGUCUUCAACUCGCUCGUCCAAGAAUUCCACUCAUAUUACUAAUUCUUACCUUGCCCCCCGAUUGCCCGCAUCUAGGUACUCAAAGUACUCUGGUCUAGGGUGACUGUUUCUGAUCCUAACUAUGAAAAUACUGCAACAAGCAACUCGCCAACACUAGAAACUCUCUCGUACGACUUCAGGUCAAUAAAAGCACUAUCCUUUCCUUUAGCACUUGGUAACUUGGUAUAUAUAAUAUAGUAAAGACGUAGGUAGCUUCCAAGAAUAUAGAGCUGGAUCAGAUGAGUAAGCUGUGAGAGUGGAAUACAGAGUUGAAGUUCUGUAAGUGUAAUCCUAUAAUAAGAUCAUAGAUAAGAAAUAGCCUACUAAAGUCAGAGGGAAUGCAACUCAUAAGUCAGAAUUUACCUAUAGUUUCGGACUUAUUCAGCGUUAUAGGUAUAUUAGAAAGUCAGGGGGGUAUAUCAAGUCUGGGGUGGGGCAUACUAUCUUACGAGCGAGGUGUCCUGAACAAGACUCAUUAGCUGAAGGGAUGUAAUAGAAUCCGUAACUUACCCUAAACUCUGAAGUUCGAAUUGAGAAUUGUCCCCUUGUGAACGAACACAGCACUCUAUGAGCUUCUCCCCCUUUGCUUCAAAACUUCUGACUGCUGGCUCUGGCUCUGCUUCCUCGCCUCUUGCUCCUCUCCUUACACUCGCUUCUUGCUCCUCUCCUUACAGGCAUGCUUAGCGGGGGAGUUUUUAGUACGAGUCAAAGAAUGCAACUAAUAAAAGUAAGGUGGAGUUCGGCUAUAAGUAAGGUAUAGUUCGGUGCUCUAUAGUUUCAUCCCGAGUUUCAUCAGUUCUCCUAUAUGAAGUUCCAGUGGGUUUCCCAUACUUAGUUGGUAUAUGAGAAAUUGCACUUCUUUUUCUUUGAUUGUUUGAUGGUUUCUUUAGACCGGAUCUUUCUUCUUCUCUUGCUAAUCUAACUCAAUAAACUGCCGCUACACACGAACACAGGACUUGUUUAUAACUUGUAAUAUCUAUUAUUGCUGCUGCCGCGCAGCUUUAAACUCGCUGCCGCGACACCGAACACAGGACUUGUUUCUAACUACGCUAUAACUACUUAUUUGUCCUACUGCCGCACAACGGCUUGCGCCGUUGCUUGUCUAUCCGUGUCUUGGCGCGCCGUUGCUUGGCCCUUGGCCUUUUCUCCUACUAUAUUAUAUAUUAUCUUUAUUAAGGAAAUAGGAUUCCACAGCUAAUCUCUCUCCUAUGUCUACUAAUACUGUUAGGGCUCAUCUAACUUACUAAUACAAUUAUUGCUCAUCUAACUCUGUCCUUGCCGAGAUACCCGCUUGCAGCCUCUCCUUACUUACCUAGCUCUAGCUGAAGCCUGUUCUUUGUCUCUUGGUGCCAUGCCUAGGUCUCGUCUCCACUGUCAUUCCUUAGCCACAGUCCAUAUGGUCAACUCAUGUAAGCCAACUAUCAGCCAUACAACAAUCUGCGCAAGAGCACAAGUAAUCAAGUGAAAAGAAAAGGACUAGGAACAAUAAGUAUAGUUCCAUAAGCGGAAUCUUCAGUUACAUCGAGGAAGCAUCUCCUGGGAAAGAUUGGAUUGGCAUUCAACUAAACUGCUUUUCCGGGUCCGGAAGGGAAAGGUUUGUUCCCAGCUAUACAUAAAGGGAAUUGAUUGGUCUUGAAGAGUGGAAAUCUCCGAUGGAAGCCAAGCCUCUCCUGGGCGGGCCUAGCCCUCUCUCUAUAUCGCCCCGGAUGGAAUGUGAAUGGGAUUCUGCCUGAAACGAAUCAAAUCAAUAGGAAUGAAUAUUAGUUGUAGAUUGAAAGGAAUGAAUAACCGUUUGUGAGAUUGAAAGGAAUGAAUAUUAGUUGUAGAUUGAAUCAACAUCAAUAGACCCCCCGUCCCGUGAAAGCUUUUCUAGGAAUGGAUUUAGUGAUCUAGCCUGUGCUCGCAUUGUGUAGAGGAGUCUAUCUCUUAUCGGGAAAGCACUUUUUGUUAGGUUCUUUCUUUUUACCGAGUAUAUAAUAAGAAGAGACGGUCUUGAACUAAACUCAAACUUCACUCGGACCAGGUUGACUUGCUCAUAAUAUAGUAAUAGAACUAAACUAGUAGACUUACCUAAACUCUGAUAUCCUAGACCUCUGGCUCAUCUAAACUAGCUGGUAGUAGUGGCGUGUCCCCUUGCCGACCUAGACCUUACUUUAGAACCUGGACUACCCGGUGGAAUUCUCACUAGCACUAGCACCCGACCCUAACUCGUAUACAAGGGGAAAGCUCGACCCUAACUCUCCUCUGGCAACUAGCUAAUCUCUAUCCCAACAUAAAUCUAGGGGCAACUCGGGAUUACUUGAUCACUGCCUCUCCUAUGAUCCUGAUACUGGAAAUUCUCUACUCCAAGCAUGGUCUCGAACCUACUUCUUCUCUUACCUAGGGCAACAAUACCUCUGCCUCUGACUCAGCCUUAGCUAAUAAUUGAAUGCUUGGACUAGACCACUCCACUUCUUCCCCUUAGCAGCUUCAGUCCCAUACUAGUAAUACAGAGCAUAAGGCUGUGACUCCUUAGCUCCAUUCCAAGUAGGAGUAGCUCAAUUCUAUCCCCCAGCAGGGCCCCAACACAGCACUUGGUUCACUAGUAUCAGGCUUGGGAACAGUGGUUGCAUUCUGAUAGUAGUUAGCUCCAUUCUCAAUACCACUAGCAUCGGACUUAGCAGGCGCUGUUCCAUUCUCAUACUGCCUGGGUAAAGCCUGUAACUCGAACCGGAUAGCCACCAAGCAACUACGUACGAAUUAUACUACUUAUCAACUCAUUCAUAAUCUAUACUUAGCUACAUUAGCUGCAUUGCUUCCAAGACUAUUUCAUUGGAACAACAAGUCAUUUCAUUAGCUGUAUCAAAGCCAGUACAGUACUUUCUUCUCUUCUUUCUUCCUUUGUAAACCUCUGAUCGCCCUUAUACAUACUUCGAAAGAAACAAGUAAACUCUCUCUUCUUAUUUCAAAGAAUUAGUCAGUAAUUCCUAAUAGAAUUAAUAUAGUUUUGUGUUAAUAGCCUAAUAGUAAGAUAGAUAGUUACCGAUUGCCCAAGCCCCCCUUCGUAGAGAAUUUCACUCCUUUAUGGAAUAUUAUGCUUCCUCAAACAUCUAUACCGGUUCAGAUCCUUUGCCAACAACUGGAUACUUUCCUUAACUUGACUCUCUUAUUGCCCCACCUCAUAUAUAAUGUGAGCUUGCCCCACCUAUCCAUCUCUGAAUGGUUUCUUUUGCCCCACCUAUCCAUCUCUGAAUGGUUUCUUAAAAAACGCACGGGAGGUUCGCGCAUCAGUCAACGACCAAAGACGCGGUUGCUGGGCCAGAGCACACAUGGUUACUAAAAGAAUGAGUGGGCCCACAGUGGCUAACAGAAAUCAUUACCGGGGCGCGGUACCAUCAUUGCAUAUGCGAUGGACCACCUCGUUGUUCGCAGUUUCUACCAUUGGAUGUCCUCCCUUUCUUUCUACCAUUAUUCAUCCGGUUUUUUCAUAGCUAAUUUCUCAUAUCUCCUCUGAUCUUGGAUACUUUCCUUGAACUGAACCUUUCCACUCAUAAUAGAAAAACAAUCAAAUCACAAAUGAUCAAAUCACAAAUAAUAUAGAGCCAAGCAACUACUAGACGCCAAGCAACUACGGAAGUAGUUGUGCGGCAGUAACAACAAUAGGGCCAAGCAACUACUAAUGUUGCGCGGCAGGGCCGCUAGAGUUCCCCAGUUAUUACUAGUUAUGUGUUCGACCAAGCAACUACUAAUGACCAAGCAACGGGACAAACAACUGCUAAUGUUGUGCGUCAGCAAUAGUCAGAAGUCAUAACGAAGUUAUUACAGUAUCUGUGCUCGGACGUUGUGCGGUAGGAGCCUGAGCUAAACGGUAGCGAGUUAAAAGAGCGUCAGCGAGCUGAAAAGCGGCAGCAAGUAAUAGUUAUGUAAAAGUUAUUACAAUAGAUGCUUUCGGGAGUCUGAGUGAAAACGGUAGCGAGUUAGGCCUCGCUUUCUUUCUUUAACUAAUGCCUAUGAGCCUGACCCAAAACCUUGCUUUGCUGUGUCUUUGCCUUUGCCCACUUGCUUUCAAACUGACACCGCUCCACUUCAUCAUGUAUUGGUAGGGGUCGUUUUAGGGCUAGACCUUGAAGUUUGGAAGUCCUAUUUGAUAUUAGUAGGAAAACAUACUAUCAAUAGAAACCAUAUUAUCAUAAGUCAAUAAACUAAGUCAGAAGUAAAGACAGCAAUGUCCGUUUUAUACAAUAGAAUAGUCAUUAGGUGUUCGGUGUUGAAGCCCUAUAGGCAGGAAAGUCAGCCCCGUCAGUAGUAGCGAGAUUCCUUAUUUCUAGAUUGAUUCUUUUACAGAUUAGCUCAAUAUUUUAUUCCCUGUUGAUAACUUACUGGUGCAUAACAUUAUUCAGUGGAGAACCCAAUUCUGAAAUGUAUAUUCUGCAAUUCCACUAUCCACAACCGACGUAAACAAUAGUAAAAACGAGAGUCCAGCUACUACUGACAAUAAUGCAAAUACUCACUAUGAACCCACCCUUGCUUAGUUUCAGGCUUAACCUAAUAGCUUCAAUUAUAUGACUACUCACUAUAGGUCUCCCAUUCCCUUCCCUUCUUUCACUCUUAAAUGCAUUGCCUUAAUACUUUAUUGCACCUUUGCUUCUUCUAUAACUAACUAUAGGCCUGCUACUUGACUUGUAGUCUGUAGUUACUUGCUUUGAAGCUGACACACUGCCCUUUAUCUCAAUACAUAUCUACUGCUCCGUAUUACGCAACUGACCUAAAUGAAAGAGUGCGAGCGGUAGUCCACCACCCCUUUCUGUGAUUCUUGGUUUCGCCCCUAUAACCUUCCAUGCGUGACAAACCCCUAUGGAUUGAAACCCUAGUAUGGCACACCCUAGUAUAAUAAAGCAAAGGGCGACACAGAGGUAUUUCUUGUCUUGGUCUAGUCGAAACUUAGGACGUAGUGGAUCAUUCACCAUCACCAUCGUGUACGUGCAUCGUGGAUGCGAUCAACGUUCAUGCAUCACAAGUACCUCGACCAUGAAACCGUUCUUCAAGUUCAACCUUUGAGGAGCAUCGCACAGUCUAUGAGCUGCCGGGGACUAAUUCCUUUAGCUGCGUUGGACUCAUUCUUUUAGCGGCGUUCUCCGUGGAUCAUCUCUUAUUCAUAGUAGGACCAUCGUUCAUGGAGGACAUCAUAGUAGGACCGUCGUUCAUUCAUCGCGAACGGCCUAGGCAAGGGAAUCAUUAUGAAAGUCACUUCACCUAUUCUGCGAACGAUCAUCGGACCCGGACCCCGAGGCACAAUUCCAUCAUUCAUUCAUAGGUAGGUCGUCCACACACUCGUUCUUUGCUCUGGUCCAGCAACUACGUCUUCGUUCGUUCGUUCAUCGAUGGUCCCGGGGCAUAUAAAGUACUUCGCUCGUUCAUGCAUCUUGGGUGCGAUCAACGUUAACAAAUGUUUGUUCGGGAACUGCUAAAGUUAAUAAGAAUAAUGGGUGUGUUGUCGAUUCAAGAGAUGGAUCAGGGGGCCUAAGAUCAUAGGUUUUGUAGUUGAAAGCCGGUGUUCAAGCCAACAACUCUACCUGGGAACUUUUCCUCUGUAUAGUAGCAAAUAGCCUGCCUUUUUUCUAUGAUUGAUAUACCAAUAAGAAUAGAGGGCCCGCACUACGUCCAUGAUUGAUAGAAUCACUACACUAGUAUUUUGGGGUCCAUCCCACCUAUACAAACAUAGAGAAAACAUAUAGAAAAGAGAAAACAAAACAUAUAGAAAAGAGAAAACAUAUAGGAAAUGGAAAUAGAAGAGACCUUUUUUCUAAUACAUUUCCUUCAUAGAAUAGGGGAGAAUAUUAUAUACAUGAACUGAAUCAUCAAUAUGAGAUGAGGUAAUGGUAAUGCCAGGCCCAACUACAAGGAUUAGACCAGGGAAUGUAAGGCAGUUGACCUAAAGCGAGAGCCAGGAAAGCAAUACUUUUGUUACGGCGCAAGGGGCUGGGUUUCUAGCUUAGGUGUUUCGUUCUUGAUUCUGAUUUUCAUUGGCGUAGUUCAGUAGCGCACGUAGUAGUAAUGAGUGACGCAAUACAUAGGAAGAGGGACGGACAGUUCCGACUGAGACUGAAAGGAACACGGGGAAGGCAGAGUAGGCUAACAAUCACAUAAAUAGGAUCCCCGGAUCAGUAGUUCGAUUACCGGUUAUGAGUUAAAGUCCCAUUGACAGUGGUUUCAUUCAAGUAGUCGUAAGUUAGAGUCUUGUUAACGAUGGUUUGAUCCCUUAGGGAAUACAUAUGUUAGAUCAGUAGGGGCGGAGUGAAAACAAGUAAGGACAAGCUCAUAGCAAGUAAAGCAAUACCUUAUACCGAGGUAGGUGUGUGGACCUCUAAGGCAUUAGUUGAAGGACCCGGAUCAGUGUUUAGAGAGUUAGAUCGAGGGGCGGGGGACUGAUAAAACGAAACACAGUUAUGGGCUUGGGAAGCUAGUGAGUUAGGCUUGAAGAAAGGACAUUGAGAUCGGUAGCGGCGGACUAAAAGCAGUAGUCGAUGCUAGUUUAGAUGGGGCUUGUUUAUGCCUGCCUAUACGAACCACAAAGAUAAGCCCUCUCUCCCCGCUAUCAAGUUCUGUAUUCGGGCCUGCUUAUCUUAUACCCGGACUUCAUUCUGACUUUCCGUAUUGAUAGAAAGAGAACUCCUCUGCGUGCGCCCUCUGAAAGCUACAAAUAACACAAUUUCAAGCAGGUUUUCUCUCUUCCUAGCAAUUACUCAUUGAAAACUAAUCAACUGUACUUAUAAGUCAUUUCUUCCUAACAUAUUUAUGGCAUUAAUUAAGGGGACAAGCUAGUUUAGUGUUUAGUAUAGAACUACUCGACUCGGUAAUCAACAGAGAAUCAAUGAUUUGUGUUCCCCAAGAGAGUAAGCAGUAUGGAAAGGUGUGCGAGCAGAGCAAGCAACGGGUAGAUCGAAGUAAUAAGCUUCUUCCAUAGCUUUUUCAUAGAAUAAUCUUUCACUGGUUGGAUUUUUCCUUUAGCUGUUUUUCCAAGUGUGUAGUAACUAACAACAAGAUAAUCUUAUUCAAGUGGAGAGUAAGGAUCAGGUCCAGGUCCAACAGAAGAAGUUGUGCAAGUUGACGAAAACAGGACUUUCCGUUAUUAACCCAACACUACUUACUCUCGGAGAACAAGUGGUUCAGGUGAGGAAACACGCUCUGAAGCUACUGAAGAUGCAGUGUAUUUACUGAUUGAUGUCUAUACCAGGGCCAAUCAACUACUAACGGACAAAGAGAGGAGACAAGCAUACAGACAGAAGGUAUGGGAGAGUCUCCAGUAUAACCCAUGUGUUCAGUAAGAAACCCAAUAGGAUUUAGCUAUAAGGGUAAGAACAAGAGUGCUGAGCUGGGUAUGCACGAAUAAUCGAAUAAUCUAAUAAAUAGCCUACUAUAAAGGUAAGAACCAGUUGAUCUAAUUGUCUUUCAUAAGGAUCGAAAGCAUAAACAAGAAAAAGAUCUGAGUACUGAUAAGGAUCUUCAGAAGUCAAGUGUCCCAGGGUAGGGAAUAGGAAUGCGCUAUCUCUAUCCCAAAGAGCCAAGUAACUCCUAAUGACCAAGCCACUACUACAAAGGCAACCGAGCCAAGCAACGACUACUGUUGCGCGGUAGGAGCCUGAGUGAAACGGCAGAGCCGCUUAAGUUCCCAGUCAUAACGAAGUUAUUACAAUAUAUGUUUUCGAGGUAUAACGAAGUUAUUACGAUCUAUGCUUUCGGUGCGGUAGCCAUUAAGAGAUAUUACAAAUCAUAACCGCCAAGACACUGCUAAUGUGUCGCGGAGGAGCUUCAACUGUUUUUGGGAGCCUUGUUUCCGGGAUUUUGGAUAGCAAUUCCAGACUUCAGUACCUGAUGAGGCUAGUUCAAUUCAUUACUUCAGUACUUAUAGUCAGCAGUGUACUUAAUAAUAGGGCAGAAGGAGAGGCUAGCUUUGACUACUAUAAGGGGCAAGAACAAGAGCUGGACGACUAUCUUAUUCCCCGACCUAAACUAUCACUGCAGUUUCUCCGGAUUCCGCUUCUCAUCUUACUGCAAUACAUGAACAAACCUAUCGACUACACCACCGCUUGUUGAUGCUUACUUUCUAUCUUAUGCUUUUGAUUAAGUAAGCGCAUUAGGAGCUGCUCCACCUAUUACUGUGGCAUCUGCUCUAACAACAUACUUUGGAACAGCAUCUUCUCUUCAUCAAUAGGAUGGAUCUUGAACUGGGCGAACAGAACAAGUAGUGGCUUGCCUUGCUUUGAAGCGCUAAGUGAAUAAGUUUCAUCAGUGUUAGUUGGCUACGGGAGAGGAGUUGGCUGGCGCUUGCUUGACUGUCUACACAACGAGGGAAGAAUCAAGAUCAUGCAGCAGAUAUAGGAUCUUAAUACGGAGAUGUCAAGUCUCGUUUUACAAGAUCAUCAGCAGUUCAAAAGGUCAGGUCAACAGCUAGAUCAGUCUCAUAAUAAGGAUCUGGAUCCGAGGCUGGGCAAGGAAAAUCUACUUGUUCAGGUAAAGAAUAAGGAGAAGGCCCGGAAUCCGCAGUAUCGAAUCAGUCAGCUGCCCGCGGUUCCUAAAGUAUAGAAUAAGAAUCCGUUCUAAAGUCAGGAGAAUGGCCAGUUCGAAAGUCAAGUUAGGGUGUUGAAGAAGUCGGAAAGCCCUAUUAAGUAAGUCGGAAUACAGAUGCGGAAUGAACUGUUCUUGUUAAGUCGGUUCUACAAGAUUAGUUCUUGGCUUGACCUUUGUUAGUGCUUCUGUAAUUGUAAUAGGCUUGACCUUUGUUAUGUUACUAGUAGUUGCUCUACUGCUUGGCGAGUUGAAUACGUUUGUUGUUGACCAGAGUAAGAAAUUGAUGUUUGAGUUGAAAGAUAAGAAUCAAGAUAAGGAGAAGAUCCUAUCCAACUGAAUAAGUCUUGUUCACCAGCCUGGGUACUAUAGAAUCUCAGGUAACCUCCCAUGCGCUCUAAACGAGAAAGUCAGAAUGGAACUAAACUCACCGGACUAACGCGAGUGACACUUGGUCUCCGGACUCCUUACUCUGAGGCAGAACAGAGGCACCACAACGAAAUCACUGUUGCCAAUACUGACUCCCUUGCCAAUACUGACUCCCUCCCUUGCCCAAUACGGAAAAGAAGAUCAUAUAGCUAGAAACUACUUGCCCAAUACGGAAAAGAAGAUCAUAUAGCUAGAAACUACUUGCCCAAUACGGAAAAGAAGAUCAUAUAGUUAGAAACUACUUGCCCAUACGGAAUUUCAAUGACUCACUGCUAAUACUGCUAAUAGAAUAGUAGAGUAACCUAACCCUCACUACGCUAACCCUUGCGUCUUCUUCCCUUGCGAGUACUGCUUUCGGUGUUCUAAGCAAUAGAUCAGCUUAUGAUCCAGCUCUUUCUGUAUCUGUAGACUAAAUCAUCUGUGAUCCUGUUCUUUCUGUAUCCUUAGGCGAAUUCAAUAGGCAUUUCCUACUCAAGUUCCUGUUCUUAUUGAAGUUGCAAGUCAAGCCCUUAUGUUAAUGGUCUGUUCCUGUGUUCGGGUAUUCAAGUUGUUAGUUUCAUGACUUAUCGUCACCAACACCGAACUCCCCCUCCCAACUGACCUUACCGAACGAUACCCAGAAUUAUGAUUUGUAAUUGAGAACUUCCCUCCCUUACUUGUAUUCUUUAGAUACUUACUUGGAUUCCUAAUAUGCUUGCUUUCACUCCGUAGUUUGAGUUAGAGCCUUGCUUUGCUGUAUAUCAUUCCGAUUCUCAGUAACCCUAUGCUUUCAUUAUCCUUAUUCACCCUGACUUUCUGGCUUUCUUGAUUUCCCGCUUACUUCACUUUAGCCUCUUAUGAUUAGUACGAUGAAGACCCCCGGCACCUCUUCUUCUUUCUAUAUAGGAUGAAACCCAAACUCCACUCUAAGACCCGCGGACAGCUAACACAGAUUCUUUUCUCGGAAACUCCACUCGAACAGAAAGAGACCUUGUCACCAAGAACUAUCAUUGCUGGUUCCCUUGCUUUAAUUAAGAUCUGGGUAGGUAUUUGUGUGUAUUAAGAAUGGAGUGUGCAACCGUAUAUAGGGUAAUAAAAGCACUCUAAAAGACAUCUUAUAGCUUCAGUCGUUAGGAGGUGCAACAAAGAAUUCAAUUGAUCCACCUCUUGCAGUUCCCGUUAGCACAUAAUGAGAUUGAACUGACCUCUGCUUUAUCGCUAUCUUUCUCGAGUAAUUCACCGUAUUUAUAGUACCUUCUUCACCCGCUUACCAAAACUUCAUUAUAUACUCCAGUACGGAUGCGUUUGCUGCUGACUUUCGUACAGGAAACUCUCCUUCUUCCGCUUCUACUUCUUAUUCCAACUAAUGUUAUUACUAGCUUUAGAUCCGUAUUCCCCUGUGUCUUCUGCUUGUACUGCUUUAGGUGUUCUAAGCUAUAUCUUGUUCUGUCUGAUCCUGCUCUUCAAACGGAUAUGUCACUUUAUACUGUACUUGUUGAAUGUAGGUGCACCUGUUUCAGUUAUAUGAGUAGUGUUGUAACCUUACUCUUCACUUAUGGAAUUCAAGAAAGUAAGCAAUAAGCAAGCAGGAAAGGGGAAUUCCGUUAUUGACCUGAAGUCGGUAUAGAAAGGGGUGAUUGGAAAAAGUCUACCAGAUCAGAAGCUUAUUAACUUAGCAGUCAAGAAAGUUGGGUUAGAAAUCAAGUAGAGUGAGGGUGCAAGUACCGUUGACAGUACAGUGUCAGUUCCAUUUCUUUCUGCUUCUGCGAGAGAUUCAAUGAAUUCUUAAGCUUGUUCGGUUCGAGUGGAAUCUGUUUGUCUUAGAGCACCUAACGCCGAAAACAUCACUUAUCAAAACUCGUAUUAGUUUAUCCCGUAUUAAUUUAGAUUAUUAUGUAGUGGUUCUUUAGUUGUUGUUUCCUAUUCUUCUGUAGUAGUUAUGUUGGGUUCAGUGCAGGUGCCUUACUUAAUGCGUGCUAUGUACUUAAGUGGAGUCUCUUUUACUUGUGUUCCCUUGGUUUAUGUAUUCCUCCUUUCUGGAUUCGAUACCAGUCGUGAUUCCCUACCCCCAUUAUCCCUUUCCUUUGCUUUAGGACUCCUCAACUCUCUU
rnacentral:lncRNA from 1 species